rnacentral:lncRNA from 1 species
UUCCUUCGGGUCCUACGAACACCCGGACUUGACCCGGAACCAUAACCCGAAACAUUAGACGGAUCAGUAUUAUGCGCCGCGUUCAUAACCGCAGCUGGAGGAAAACGACGGCGGCGUGACCCGGAUAAAGUGGAUCGGGUCGGAGCUUCAAUUUCUUCAACAAAUCCAGUAUUACAAUCGGGACAAGUAAUAGAUUCUUCGCUCCAUACUCUAUAAAAUCUAUUACAUCUAUAACACCAAUACGUAGAAGACAUCGAAAACAAACCUUGACUUCUUCAAACUUCAAAAGUCAAAUACAAAUCUUUGCAACCCGGUUCCAGAUCCGAAACAAAUUCAACAAAUCAACAACUGCGACAACCUUUAAAACGGCUUUUUCACGACCCGGUUCAAGAUCCGUAACAAAUCAACAAACACCCACAAUUCACAAAAUCCGGAAACGGAAUUUUUUUAUGACCCGGUUUCAGAUCCGAAAAUUUCAAUGAAUUAAUUGUUAAUUCAACAAAUCAACAACUCCGACAACCUUAAAAAUGGCCUCUUCUUUUUUUACAACCCCAGAAGCGGAUUUUUUUACAACCCGAUUAUAGAUCCGAAAACUUCAACGAAUUAAUCGUAUAAAACUAACAAAGAAAAUAGCAAAACAAUGGAAAUUUUCAACGAAUUAAUCGUAUAAAAAAAUGAAAUUUUAGAUCGAAACACAUGAAGAAAAUAGCAAAGAAAUUGACUUGGAAUGGAAACUUGUGAGGAAAUUUAGAAGGGGAAGAUUGAAGAGAAUUAUAGGGAGAGAAUAAGGGGAAAUGGAGAGAUUUGGAGGAGGAAAAAUGGGGGAAUGGGGACAAAUAAAAGGAGAAGGGAUAUAGAGGGAAUUAUUUUGGGGGUGAAAGGUAAAAUGGGAAAGUGAAGUGGGUAGUGAGGAGUAGGAGAAUGAUUGUGCAAUUGAAGCGGGGAUAUAGUGAAAUGUGUCAACGUAAAAAUGGUGAGUGGCAAUACACCCUGCUGAUGAGCUCCUCCUUCCAUAUAUAUGCAUACCUAAAGUUUCAACACACCAAAUUGGCCCUUUUUAGAAAUUUUCAUCAAUUAUGGUGUAACGGAUAAAAUUAUUCCUUCGUUAAUUCAAACUUUAGAUAUAUAAAGUAGCUGUUUGGGCAUGAAAAUUAAUUUUUUUCAGAGUUGGAGUUGGAAUUGAAGAUGAAGUUAGAGUUGUGUUUGCUAUGUCUUUUUGAAAAAAAAUAAAAAAUUUUAAACUUUUGAAAAAACUUUUUAAAAUAUGAUUUAUGUCCAUAACUUUUAAAAAUUAUCAAAAUCACUCAACUACUAAUUUAUCUACUAACAUACAACCAAAUGUUGAGAAAAUAAUUUAUGUCUUCAAUGGAUAAAAUAAUUAACAACAAACUAACUAUUAUGAUUGUUAUUCUUCUAAAAUUUGAAUAAAAAUAUCACAAGCACGAGCUAAAUAAGUUUAUUUAACCAUAAUCGAUUGAAUAGAAUAAAUAUAUUUUGAUAAAUAUGAUUGAUGGAUAUAAAUAUAUUUUAUAUAUUCUUAAAUUUGUUGAUGAAAAUUCUUAAUUACUUUCACUUGAAUUAAUUAUUUUAUUCAAUUUGGUUUUUUUAAAAAAUUUUACGGAUGAAUUAUUUCUAAAUGGAUUAGUGCUAAUUUUUUGCUUUUUCUUUAUUGAUGAUUUUGAUUUUCCUUGAAUAUUAUUGUAUUGUAAAUAUGGAUCGUUACGUUAUGUUUGAUAUACAACUUUAUUGACCACUUUUUAAUAAUUUAUUAAAAUCAUAGUACCAUGACAUAUACUGAAAAUUAAAAUGGCAAGAAAAAAUAUUAAAUUUCUCAUUUUUAAAUAACAUAAUGUACUAGAUCUUAUACUUCUUUAAUAUAAUUCAUUCAAAACAAAAUUGAUAUAUUUCCAUCAUAGAUUGUCAUUAAUUAUUUUUUACAUCGCGUUAGUAAAUUUUGGUUAAAAGAAGAAAGAGAUUAGAAUAUCUGUAACAAUUAAAAAUGAUGUUGUAUCAUAGAAAAUAAAUAAUAAUUAUUUUCUUGGUGGUUGGUUGUAGUUAUAGAGGUGUUAGUGUAAAAAUUUAAAGAUUAGGGUUAUAUGUAAUAAUAAUUAAAGUUGGAAAUGGGAGUGAAAAAUUGUGAAAACAACAAAAAGUUAUUUUCAUUUUUUGGAAUCCAACUCCACAAUAAUUUUUUAAAUUUUCACGGCCAAACAACACAAUUUCUUAAAAAGUGAAAAAAAAUUGAAAAAAAAUAAAAAAAAUUAUAGUCAAACGAGCCCAGAUUUUUUUAGAGGAAAUGAUUCUGACGAUUGGCGUUAUACUAUGCAGACUUAAAUUAAUCAUACUUCAGUACAACUAUUAAACAUUGUUUAAGAAAAGAGGGGAAAUUUGGUGUAGAGUAAAAUAAUGACUCGUUAAGAAUUUUCACAUCUCAAAAUUAAAGGUGGUGGAGAGGAGAUGGAGCUAUUGAGAUGAAUGUGUAAACUUAUUAAGAGAGAUAAAAUUAUAAAUGAAAUUAUUAGAGAGAAGGUGAGAGUGAAUUUGGUGGAAGACAAGAUAUGAAAAGCGGAGUUGAGAUAGUUCGGAGAUAUGAUGAAGUGGUGUAUGAAUAGCCGGUACAGAGGUGUCAAACGCUGGCUAUUGUUGGUUUCAGGCGGGGAUAGAGGUAGGCCAAAAGAAUAUUAGAGGGAAGUGAUUAGAUAUGACAGGGAGUACGGAGGACAUGAUCCUUGAUAAAAAGGUGUUAGCGUAGAGGGUUAGUGGGUAAGAGUAUCCUUACUAGCAGGGAGGAGUAUUUUAUAUGUGUCUUGUAUUUCUUGUUAUAUUGUUAUUUGUCCCCAACUGAUCUAUCGAAAACAACAUCUGUACUUCAUCUGAAUUAGUGGUAUGGACUCAAAUCCCAUUUUUUGAGUAUGUUAUUAUUGUUGUUGUAGUGAUAAUAAUAAUAAAAAAUAAUUAAAUUAAUAAUAUUUAUGAUUUAAAUAAAUUGUUACUUCAUCCAACUCAAAUUAUAUGAUUUUUUUUUAAACUGUCAAUUUAUGAUUUAAGUGAGAAUAAGAAUAAAAUAAGUUUUUGAGAACUAUCACAUUCUAGAAUAGUCAAUUUUAGAUGGCACUCGUGUCCUUUUUUUUCAUCAUUAGAUUAAAAGAGUGUUUGGAUAGGAUUAAAAUCUAAUUAAACUAGAUUUUAAUUAUUUUUUUAACUUUUUUAAGUGUUUGAUAAAAUUAAAAAAAGGUUAAAAAAAGCUAAAAAUUAUUUUAAAAAAGCAAAAAUUAAGAAGCUGGAUACCCCCAACUUUUUAAUUUUUAGAUUAAAUUUUUUUUAGGUUUAAUCAAAACAUUUACUUUUUUAUCCCUUAUAUUUUCUUCUAAUUUCCAUAAUACCCUAAACUAUGUAGUCCUUAUUGAUUUUUCUUUAUUUUUCUUUCUGCUGUUUUUUCUCUUCUUUUCCCUCUAGUUUUCUCUGCAUCUUUCUCCGUUAUUUUCAGAGAAUCUAUCAUUACAUAAGAAAAUACUCAAAAAAUUUAUUGUCAAAUCGAACUUGUAUUAAGUUCUUCUCUAUCCGUUUAUAUACAAUUUUUGUGUGUUAUUUAAAUUUUAAAGAUUGAUUCUUUUUAAUAAUUUGUUUCAUUCCUAAAGAUUUUAUGUUGUUUACAAACUUGCACUAUUACAAUAUAAUACUAUAUUUAUAUAAAAAAUUUCUUAAAAUUUUUAUUUUUUAAUAUUUAAAAAUAAAAAAGUAACUUAUAUUUAUAAAUUGAUCUGGCAUAAUCACUUUAUGUUGAAAGUGUAUUUAAAUAGAAAUUAUUUUUGAAGUAUUAGAAUUAAAAAUCAUAAACAAUUCACGUUAUUAUAUGUUAACAACUUUAAGGAUAUUUAAGUCAUUUUGAAAAAAAAAAAAAGUGAUUGACAACACUUGUUUACCAACCACAUCAAUAAUUUUUUUUUAAUUUCAGCACUUCUAUCCAAACACUUAUCUGCUUAAUUUAAAAACACUUAUUUUAAACUUUUAUCCAAACGGGCUCUGAAUACACACAUUUGCUUGGAUUUAAACUUAAAAUGAAUCAGUUCUAUUCCUACUGAAAUUAAUGUAGUAUUUCAUCCACAUAUGUGAGUUUAUUAAAUAGUUUAGAGGGUUUGUUUAAUUAGCAAAAUAUUGCACUACAAUUUAUAUCGAAAUAAUAUAUGAAUAAACAUUUUAAUUUAAUUUUAACUAACAACUAAAUAUUUCAAAAUUUGAGGAUGCGUAUCUAAACACUUUAAGUCAUCCUUAGUGUGUCAGUUAAAUACUCUAAUUUUCAAAAUAUUUAUGUAGACAUCUUGCUGAUUUACGUGUUACAUCAGCAUAGAGCGUCCAUGAAAAUAAUGAGUGUGACUAUUUGUAAUAUCUAUACUAGCACUAGUGUAACAUUUCGUUUUACCACCUAGUUAUCUUAACGGAGAAGUUUGAUUUUUUUUUUUUGGAUAAAGUAUGAAAAAAGUUUGAAAGCAACCACACAUAAAUUAAGCAAAUUGCUAAUUUAAUUGGAUUUGAUUUCAUUGGUUAUCUAUUAUGUAACCUUUUUUGCUAUUAGGGCUAUCUAGUAGGCGAGUACCUUUUUCAAUGUUGUGAUUUACCGAGGUCAAUUUUCCUAAACUUUAAAGUCAAAUUAAAGAUAGAUUAAUUUAAUAUUUUAAAUUAAGAAAAAUGCUUUAUUAUCAAAUUAAAUUAUAUGUGAAAAGGUUGAGAUACACUCAAACUUUAGAAGGAUCCUAUUACUCUGAACUAAUUAAAAUCGUAUUUUUGACAAUCUUAGUGCCUAUACGACAAAUACGUGACAAACACACCGAAAGGUCCACGUAAACACACGUGUGUGCCACAUAAGCACUAAGAUUGUCAAAAAUACGAUUUUAAUUAGUCCAGGGGUAAUAGGAUCCUCCUAAAAUUCGGGUGAUGUCUCAGCCUUUUCGCGUAUAGUUUAAGAUGAAAAUAGAGCAUUUUCUCUUUAAAUUAUAAAUUUAAAUACUUAAGAAUUAUAUGAAAAAUGUCAUAAGUGAUAAUCCUAAAAUUUUUUACCAAAGCUUAUAAAAUUUAUUUUUCUAAAAAUGAAAUAAGACCAGUAAAAAUGAAUGUAUGGAGUCCUAUUUUAGGUUUAUGUUGAAGUUGAGGUACAUUGGAUUUCCUUUUUUUUUUUUUUUCUUUUUCAAUUUUUACCCUGUAUUCAAAAUGGUUAAAACUUACGCGCACCCAAUGUAUACAUUAAAUCAAUACAUGCAUGUCAUGUAUUUGAAUUUAAAGUUUAUGUUACUUAAUCAUGAUUAAUUAACAUAUAUUUUACUCGAUUUAAUUACUCAAUCAUGAUAAAAAAUAUUAAUUUAGUGUAUAUACCGGGUACGUAUAAGUUUUUAAUGUUUAAUACUGUGUUGAGAUUCGACUACAUCAAAAUUUUGACAGUGUCUCUCAAUAAUUUUUUCUUUAUUGUUAAAAAUUUAAUUAGUUGGUACAUUGGACGUAACUUGUGCAUGGUUCAAUAUAGAAAUGUAGUUAAAUCAAGUAUAUAUAUACAUUUAAAUCAUAUAUAUAGUGGAACUUUGAUUCUUAUAGUAGGUCCACUAAAAUUAUUAUACAAGUAGUUUUGGUUCGUCAAGAGUGCGUAAUUCUUUUUACUAUUGCAUUUUGGACCACAUAUAAUAUAAUGGGAAAAAAAUACUACUACUUUAUAAGAAUUUCCUUUCUCAAUAAGAAAUUUAAUUCAACUGAAAUUAGAAAAUCUGUUAAAGUACUUCUUUCUUGAAAAAGAUUAAAAGGACCAAAAAUUAAUUUAUCAGCAAAUUCUGUUCCCCUUUAUGUGGGAAAAAUAAACUGUGAAAAAAAUGCAUUUUUUCUCCACUCAAAUAACGGCAGUGCCAAUAAGCUUUAAAAAUUGAAAUAUUUUCUCCGUUUUAAAAUAGUUGAUCGUUGUUAAUUUGACAUUUUGUUUCAAAAAAUAUUUAUAAAAAUUGUUUUAUCAAAUUAACCUCAUUGAUUAUGAUUUAAAAUAUAAAUUUGAGUAUAUAUUACGGAUUAAGAUAGAGGACUAGUAGGUAAGAGUACGUUCGUAAUAGUAAAAUAAAGUGCUUUGUUUAUAUUGGUGCUUGUAGUCUCUUGUUCACAGUGCUUUGCUGAGGUUUAUGAUUUUGUAUAGUAAGUUUAUAAUAUUAGUUCGUGGGUGUCUUAUUUUUUUUUUAUGUCACCCCUUGUUUGUUGAUUGUUUUUAUGUUCUGUUUAUAUUUGUUACCUGUCCUGAGUCAGGGGUCUGUCGAAAACAACAUUUCUACUUCAUCUGAGGUAACGAUAUGAACAACGCACACUCUACUCUCCCCAAACACCACUUUGUAGGAAUACACUAGAUAUGUUAUUGUUGUAUUUUGUUUGAUCAUUUAAUGAUAGGGAUAAUAUUGAAAGAACGUAAUAAUAUUCUCUUGAUUUCAUAAAAGUAAUAACAAAAUUGAAACAAAUAUUUUUAUAAAGAAGAUCAACUAAAACAAAACAACACAACAGGAGUAAUAGGAUAAAUUCUAAGUGCAUGGCACAGACUCUUCACUUUUAAUGUCGUAUUCAUGUUAGAUUUUUUAAAAAUACAUUAUUUUUGAAGAUUUUAACACGUAUUUGAUGAUAUUUGAAAAAAAAAAUCUGAACAACAUAGAUUGAAUUUAUAUUUAUUUUACUUAGCCCACAAAUACGAUUUCAGAAUAUAAGUAGAGCCGUAGACACAAAUUCAAAAUUCAAAAUUUAUGAUUUUUUAGCUAUUUUAUUUUGUUUUGUUUAAAAAACUGUUGUCAUUUGUGCCAAGAAGAAUCAUUCCCUUAUUAAAAUGUAAAACAAAGCUUAAGCAAGUUUAUUUCUAUCUCUCAACUAAUAGACUACUAUUGGUUCCUAGUGAAUAUUUUUGUAUAUAUUUAAUAAAUUUUUUUCAUAUAAAUAUAAUGUUUGUGUGAAAGUUAUCGAAUUUCUUUUUAAAAUUAUAAAUUCACAUUCUUACAUAUAAACUUAUAAUCUGUAUCAAAAGCAUUAAGUUCAGAUAAAUAUGAUAUUCUAUACUAAUCUAUAUAUAUAUAACUCACACACUGAUUAUGUAUAUAUUAUAUAGGCGUUUGGUCAUGAAAGUAAAAAAUAUUAGAAUUGGAAGUGUAUUUAGCCAUUAAUAUAAAUUGAAGUUACUUUUUAUUUUUGUUGGAGAAGUAAAAGUGAAAAAAAAAAUGAAAAUCAGUUGAAAUUUGUGUUCAGUUUUUCAAAUAUAACUUCAAGUUGCAUCUGAAAUUUUUAUAAUCAAACAUCAUAUUUUGAAUAAAGUUAAAAAAAUUUGAGAAAAAAGUAAAUAUUUCUGCCUAUAUAUGAAUCACACAUAUAUGUACUACAUAUUUAUCAAUUAUUAUUAUUGAGGGAUAUUUUAGUAAAAUUAAAAGCCAAUGAAUCAUUGAAAAAAUAUAUUGGCAAAGUUUUCUCAUAUUUGUGAUGCUUUACAGUUGGUCAUUCUUGUCAUUUUGCUAACUGUUGCUCUUUAAAGUUGGUACUAAAAUGUGAGGACUUUAAAGAUUAUUGUACUUUCCUUUUUUCUUUUGAAAGGUGCAUCACUCUCUGUUUUUUGGUUUAAACCAUUCGGUGUUCGGUAUUCACUUUUUAGGAGUCCGAUUAUUUUUGAAUUUACCUCGCAUCAGAUCCCAUUUGGAGGGGGAAGAGCUCCCAACAGAGUGUUUGUUCAUACCCAGGGUCAAACCCUCGACCUAUGGGUAGAUUGGGGCAGCCCCUUUCCUCUGCGCCAUCACUUUCUUAAAGGUGCAUCACUUUCACAAUGCCAAGUUAGGAUUUAGAGCUUUUCAAAAAAGUAUAUAAAGUAAGAAAACAAGUUUAUGUGAUUAAGUUACAUGCAAAGUAAUUUAAGAUUUAAAUUUUAUGAAUUUUGAUAUAAAAUUGUAUCGUAAUUAACUUAUUUUACUAGUAAUUCAAAAUGUAUUAUGUGUGUUUAUUGACAUGCUUGAGAUAGCAGCACUAUUGGAUUAGAAUAAACCGACUUCGCUUCGAUUGAAUUUCUGAUGACACUGAUGAAUCACGUGAGUUGUUUAGAUUUUAGAUGCGUGACAUAGAGGGUUUGUAGUGUUUGUUAGUGCAGAUACUUAGUGAUUUAGGAGAUUGACCUAUAUAAUAAAAAUAAUUAUUUCUACUUAUAAGAGGGACUUUCUAGAUAUCAUUCAAAAUUCAUCUAACAUAUAUGCCCAUGGUCUUUUGUCCGCUUCGAUAAAUGAGAAUUUUUGAUAAAAUUGAUGAAUCUCGUGAAUUGAUUAGAUCUUAAAUGCGUGAGAUAGGAGGUUUGUAGUGUCUGUUAGCGCAGAACGUAGUGAAACGGAAGGAGUCUAUACCAACUCCCUUUUUUCUGAAGAUUAUACUCAAACGAAAUUAUGUAGCUACCGUCCGCCUAACGCGCUUUGAUCUAUUUUGACCUAUACAAUAAAAGGAAUUCUUUCGAAUAAGAGGGACUUUCUAGAUCAUUCAGAAUUCAUUUAACAUAUAUAUAUGCCCAUGGUCUUUUGCUAUAAGUUCCUACUUUGUUGACUCUAUAGGAUCUAAUUAAGUAUAAUAAUUAAAUAUUUUCUUUUAAGAAAAAGUAAAAAAAAAAAAAAAAUAAGUUCAUAAACAAAUAUUUGCCGUGAAACAGAACGAAGUUAGAAUUUUGAAUUAAUUAAAUUUAUAAAAUUAGUAUGUUGGAAAAGACAAAAUCACAUUCUUGUUAACUUAUUUAUGCAUAUUAUAAAUAUAAAAUCUACAUCAAAAUUAUUGAAUCUGGUCAAAUUUGUAUUCCACCAAUAUAGAAAUCUUAUUGGAGAUAAAUUAAACCAUGAUUUUGUCUCCCUUGUCUAUGAAUAUUCGUCAUAAAAAUCCUUUUGUAUUGAUUUAUUAAUGACCUUUUUUUUUUACAUGUAUAAUUACUAAAAAAAAAAAGUCCCAAUUCUUUUAGUUUAUUAGUAUCAAUGGAAGGUACAGUCGGGUUGCUCACGUAAAAAAUUAUUUUUAGUUCUCAUCUUUUAUAGAGAAGUAAAUUCAAACGGAUAGAACAGAUGAUCCAACUACCUAACUUUUUUCUUUUUUAUUAUUUUUAUGAUCUCAUCCCUCUGAAAAAAGUUUUAAGUUGGAAAGAAAAAGAAUACCUUACACUAGCAUAUUUUAAUAAAUAUUAUAGCAUUACUAGUGCUAUCCUACCAAAAAAUCUAUAUAUUACUUGUGGUGUACAUAGAUUUAACUAAAUUGAAUGACAUAAUUAUAUGAAGCUCUAAUCAAAUUCUCUAUGCCAUUCUACCAACUUAAAAACACUUAUUAAUUCAACAACAAUAACAAUGAACAUUUUUAAUUAAUCCAUUUGUUUAUUUUUUCUUUUGGGCUGACUUCAACAAUUAAUUAAAUCAAGCCUCCAUGAUUGACGAUUUAAUUUUUUUUUUUUGAAUAAGUAUUGACAGUUGAGGACUAUGACUUUUGAUCUUUACUAACUAUUUUUUUCAAAGAUUUCUAGAAACAAUUUUUUUUUUUCAUAAAAAAAUGUGAGGAAGAGAAGUCAAAAUUUAUUUUAACCGUUUUUAGAGAGUAUGACAAUGCUAUAUAUUAUUAUUAUUAAAAAAUAAUUACUGAAUUAGUGAAAUAAUUAGGUUCUUUCAAGAAUUAUGUAAGAAAAAAAUUGUGGAAUAACAAAUAAAUAUAUAAAAGAUUUACGUGGAAUAUUCUUUGUUGAAAGGAGACAAAAAUUACGAUCUAUUUUUAGUAAGAUUUCCCUCCUAAACUCUCCGCUAUCAUAACGCGAAUAAUUUAGUGUAUCGGGUAACUCUGUCCAUCAAGACUAGAACAAAUGAGAAAAAUCACCUAAUGUUUGUCUCUAUUGAAAAUUGAACUUGAAACUGAUUCGAACAAUAGUUACUUCAAUCGUCAACGGAUUCUUCCCCUUUUAUUCUUUUAAAAGUAAGUGAAUUUCUUAAAAGAUGUAUUUAUAAAUAAAAAAUGUCAUAUAAUAGGAAGCGAAGGAUAUACUAAGCAAGAAUUACUUCUAUUUAUUUGUCAAUGUUAUUGAAAAUAGAUAUACAACAAUUUUGUUCCGUUUAGAAUAUCACUAGAUAGUUUAUUCAUUUUAUCAUUGAUAUUGGUAUUCAUUAUUCGGAUAUUCAGUAUAUUUUUCAAAACGUUAAAUUUAUCAUAUUUAAAAGGUGAUAUAGUAAAUUUAUUCAUAUUAUUUCUUAUUUUUUAUGUAUGUCGAAUUAAUAAUGGACAAAUAUUAUUUAGCGAAAAAAGUAUUUAUCUACUGUUUUCGAGAAGCAACGUAACACACGAAAUACAAACAGAGCCCAUUCUUAAAGUGGGCCUAAAGUGUAUAAUGCUAUCAAAAAUUAGAUCUGCAAAAGUUGCUGAAGUGUACAUAUACCUAACUUUUAUGUCAUUAUUUUUGUUAUGUUUUAAAUUUAUAUAUAUAUACAAAAAAUUUCAAGACUUGUUGCUAUUGAAGAUAGUUUUGCUAAAAUCUAAUUAUAAAUAUAUUUAAAAUUUUAUAUGAUUGGAGUUCAAAUAUUUCUACUUGUUCAUCAAUUUUUUUUCUAAAUUACAUCACAAAUACUAAUAGUCUUAUUAUAUCUACAUAAAAUCCCAUAUCUUUUACAUUUAAUUAUAUCUUAUCCCAUAUUUUGUAUGUAUUCAAAAAGUAAUGUAUUCGGAGAAUUAUGUAUACAAAAAGUAAUGUAUCCAAAGAAACUUGUGCGUGAGAUUAUGUAUCAUGAGUUAACUUAUGUAUACUGAAUUAAUUAUGUUCAAGAUACAUAACAACCAACCUAGCAACUUAUGUAUAAUAAAUUAUUAUGGAUAUGGUACAUAUACUUUGAAAUAUAUAUAUGAUAUUACACAGUAUGUAUCAGCAACGCAAUGCAUCCGAAGAAAAGUAAUAUAUUCAAUUUGCAAUUUCUCAAAAAUUUGUGUAAUAUUAUAAUAAUAUGGAAUAGAAAGUAAUUACCUCUCAUAAUAGUGAGAUAUAUGUUGUUUAUAUAUUUUUUUUCUUUCAAACUUCAGUCUUAAAUGUGUUUGAAGUUCAAUCAUUUUUGUUUGAAUUUCAACCAUAUAUAACUAAAAUUUAGUUAUUUUUAUCUGAUUCAAGCUAUAAUUUCUGCACAUAAUUGAAAUUUAUGAAAAAUAUUUAAACUUGAGCAAUUUCAAACAUUGUGUAUGUCUAAAAUUUAUUGAGUCGUGGUAGACAUGCAACUUUGUUUUAAAGAAAACUAGCUCCCAUUGAGCCAUAGAAUUUUUAUUUUUAAAAUUUUAAAAUAUGAUUGGACAUGCCUUUUUGAGUAACAGUAUCCAAAUAAAAUUUCUUACUGCAAAAAGUUAGUCAACAUUUCAUGUUAUUUCUUUCUUCCAUGUCCAACAUUUGCUUUUGUGAUCUUAUCAUAAAAAACCUUUAUAACAUAAAAAAGAUAUGAAAUAAAUUAAAUCCUUAUCCGAUAGCUUAUCAACUUUUUUUUAAAAAGCAAAUCCUUUGAGUUUUCUUCUUCAAGUAACCUUUCUCUCUUCUAAUCUUUUAUUUUCCACCUUUUUAGACAAGCAAAUAUGAUAUAACUCUGAUACAUCAUUCGUUUCAAUUUGUUUGUCUUGUUCUAAUUUGACGCAAAAUUUAGAAAAUAAAGUAGACCUUUGAAUAGUGACGGAGCCAACAUCGAAAAAUAUGAACAAAAGAACGAGUCGAAUCUAAGGGGCCGGGUUCAACUUUUGCUAUAUAUACAUAAAAAAUAAUUUUAAACUUGUAUAAAUAGCAUAAUUUUUCUCCCAAACCCCCUCACUAUUAGCUAGCUCCGCCCCUGCCUUUGAAUCUUGUGAUCUUGACUGAUAUGUAUAAUGUAUCAAAAUGUCUUUUAAUAAUAUUGUGAUCCUAAACAUUUCAUGGGAAAAAUUGAAAUUAGAGAAUUAUCAAAAAAGGAAGAAUACAUUGUUUUCUAGCCGAACCAAAACGAAAAGUAGAUAAAUAAAUUAAAACGGAGGGAGUAUUUGACAACACCAUAUGUAUAAAGUAUAUAACCUAAUUUCGUAUGAUAUCUAACAAGAAAUGGCAAAAGUGAAAAGGUAGUAAAUCUCAAUCAAGACAAAAAAGUUUGAAAAAAAAAAUGAUAAUAUGGAAUAGUGAAUGUGAAAAAGCAUAGUCAUUUUCAAGUGUUUAAUUACACACCACACUUUUCUUAAUCUAGAAAAUUGUCCUUUUCAAGGAUGGGUAAUAAUACUUAUACAAGUGAAACAUUUGAAAAUGAUACAAAUAUAAGGAUUAGAUAAUAUAUAUAAAGUGAAACAUUGAAAAAUGAUAUAGCAAAUAUAAGGAUGUGUUUGGAACAAAGGAAAAUAUUUUAAAAUAUCUUUUUGAAAAAUAUUUUUUUAGGAAAAUAAAUACUUUUCUUACGUUGGUACAUAAUUGAAUGGGUUAAAGAUGAGGUACGAUAUGUGUUGCUGGUUGGAAAGGACACAAUUAACGAGGAAUGUCAUUUGUCAAACUUUAUUUUAGCAUUUUAUUAAGAAACUCAUUUUUCUCAUUUUUAAGAAACUAAUUUUCUCAGAAAAUAAAUACUUUUUAAAAAAUUUCACCAAUAGAACAUGAGAAUUUUUUAAAAAUAUUUUGUGGAUCUUUGGCACAUGUGCAACAAGUAUUUAGUUUGUUAAGGCAUGAACUUUUAUUGUAUUAUUAUUGCAUGGUGACUUCAUUGGGAAAAUGACUUUUUAGAAUAUUUCCUUCCUUAAUAAGAAAGUAUAUAGUUCAAUCCAAAUGAGAAUUUGUUAAAAAAUUAGUGACCAAAAUAAAUCAAUUAGAGAAUUUGGUUACAUACCUUUAUGAAGGAAAAGAAAAUAUAGAAAAGACAACAUCAUUUCAAUAACUGUAGGGUUAGUUGAGCUUUGAAAAUGAAGAAUUUCAUGAUAAAUAGAUGUAUAUAUUAUUCUUUUCAAUGAGCUUAUUAAUAUAGAAAUGAAUAUUGCUUAUGCAAUGCAAAAUUUAACAUGUGAUGUAUUAGGAUUGUUCAAAUUCAUGUAUAAUGAGACCAAAUAUUUGUAUCUUCUUCUAAGCCCUAGCUAGACAACAUAAUAUAGGAGCCUAAUAACGAAUAAAUAACGAAUUGAGAUGAGCAGAAUUCUGAUAUUAUGAUUAAAAUAAAAGAUUUUGAAUGUGACUCAACUUAAAGAUUAGUUCAAGAGGCGACGAGUAUUAUUGUCUAAAGCCAUGUAAUGACUUACAAUAUUCAAAUCGAUCUCACAAGUGAGACAAUUCAACAUCCUCAACACAUUUAGGCCUACCAACUGAAUAAUGGACGUAUAUAGUAUGAAGUUCAAAAAUCAAGAAUUAAAAUAAAUUUGACUCUAAUGUCAGAACUGAACCUUAAAUUUAACUUAACAACAGAAGUUAACUCAUAAAAAGAGAACCAUUUAAAUCACGUAAUAAGACCAAAUAUUCACAUUUCGCCCGUCGUCCAAUAUGCAACAAUUUAAUUGCUCGGAUCGAAUUUGAAUUAAUUGGAUCAGUAAAUCGUAAAGAAUAAAAGUACUAGUAAGAUUUAAAUCAAAAAGGAAAAGAAAAAAGAAAAAGAAAAGUGAAGCUAAAAGUCUAAUUAGUCAAUCUUCUAAGGAACACAAACAAAUUGGUCAUGGUUUACAACUGGUCGUGCUUGUCAUUUUGUUAAUAUUAUUCUUAAAGUUAGUGUGAAAUGUGACACCUUUUAAAAGAUUUAUUGUUCUUUUUAUUUUUCUUUCUAAAAGAAAAAAGAUGUAAAUAGCUUUAUGUCUUUGACCAAAAAGUAUGAAAAUAAAAAGAAAUUAUAAUGUUUAAAGUUAAAUGCACAAAGCCAUUGUAAAUUCCACACAUAUUUAUAAAACUGUGGGGGCAAUAAUCAGCUUUCAAUUAUAUUUAUGUAGACAAAAAGAAAUUAUUAAACUGAGUUGGUGCAACGAACGUGGUAUCACAUUAGGGAAUUAUUCUAAUUUGAUUUUUUUUCGAUCAAUUGAGUCGUUGUAUUCAGCUUGUCUAGUAUGAUUUACAGUCUCAUUAUGACUUAGCUAUUAUAUAAGAUAUGUUUAUUCAGUGCACAUUAAAAGAAUAUCAACUGAGACUUUCUUGGAUUUUCAAAAAAAAAAAAAAAGAAGAAGCAGAGGUAUCCAUUUAAUCAAAUAUAAAAUGGUUGAACUUCAGACAAAAUGCUUGAAUAUCAGACUAUCAGUGAAAUUAAAUUAGGGGCUGAUACAGUUUAAAAGUAAUAGAUUCAUUUACAACUCAAUGCUUUUAAAGUGGAGUAUAAUUUCAUACUAAAAUAAUUACGAAAAUUAAAAUAAAUAAUAAAUAUGAAUUCAUAAUGUAAACACCUAAUUUUUUACCAAACCUAAGUGUCUUUGCCAUUUUAGUUUUCAAUUUCGUUUUAGGGUCUAAAUUGGAUAUUUUAAAUUUAUCUUAUUUUUACUAAAUUUAUUUUAAAAAUUUUGAGAAAAACUACAAAAAAAUAGAGUCACAUUUUAAAUAAGUUUUUACUUUUAUUUUUUAGUUUUUAUUUGUUUAUUUAUUUAUUUUUAGAAAAAAAAAAAGAAAGAAAAAAAAUGAAAAAAUAAGAAAAUAAAAAUUUUUCUAAAUUAUAUUUGUUUCUUCUUUCAAUUUUUAAUAAAGAAUGUUGUGAUAUUAAUAUUUCUUAACCAUAUUCCUAAGACUAGCUAGUCUUGUAUUUUGUUAGUUUUAAAAUAGAUUUUNNNNNNNNNNNNNNNNNNNNNNNNNNNNNNNNNNNNNNNNNNNNNNNNNNNNNNNNNNNAAAUAAUAAUAAUAAUAAUAAUAAAAAAAAAAAGGGGGAAUCCUAAACUACCCGAACCACCCACAAGCCCCACUCUCACAAACCUCUCCCCCAUUUUCCAAACAUACACACACGACACAAACACACACACACAUACACAUUAUAUAUAACACACACACAUGCACCAUACAAAAGGGGGGAAAAAGAAAAAGUCAGUACAAAAAGAAAAACGUUAAGAAAAAGCAAAAGAAAAACGUUAAGAAAAGAAGGAAAAAAAACAAAACAAAAAGCAAAAAAAAAAAAAAAACAGAAGAAAGGAAAAGAUUAGAAAAAAAAAAAAAAGAGAGGAAAAAGAGUUGUGAGUUGAGUUUUGGUCUACUCGAGGUUUUCGUUCGGUUGUUUGUUUGUCAUCGAGGUCUCCAACGUAAAGGUCCAUUCUUUACUUAUAUUUUGUUUGUAAUUUCUAAGUUAUUUGAAUGAAUUAAAUAAUCAAAUCCUCUUACCUACGAGUAUUGUAGGAAAGUUGGGAUCAUAAUAAAGUUUACAUGAUUCGCAUUACAUCUCGAUGUUUCAUUUUCUGUUAAUAUAAAGUUUGAUUAUAUUGUUAAUUAAUUGAUUAUUUCGGGUAAAAAUUGCUCGAAAUCAUUAUUUAGUUUAGCGACAUAACGAGUAGACAACAAGUUAAAGUUUGGGGUUUGAUUCAUGAUUUUAUGUCGCUCUCCGUUGUUUUGUUGUUAAUUAUUUUCACAAGAGAUAACGUACAUUGAGAUUAUACGAGACUUGAUUCUAGCAUUACUAAGUUGCUCAAAUUUCACAUGUGUUAACGAGUUAUGAAUCUUCGAUGCUAUAAUAUGAUUAGGGAGUAUUUUUAUAUUUUUGUAUAGUUAAAUUUAAAUUAAAGUUGGUAUCAUAAUAUGCGCUUUCUUGCACUUCAAUCUAAGUUACUGUCUAAUUCAAAUUAUGUUUUUGGCGUAAAGUUCUUUUAAUCAUGUUUGUCUAUGAGUUUAUUUAAAAUUUCAGUUACUAAGAUCUUUUCUUACAGUGUGUUAACCUUACUAUUUUAAGUUAGAAUUUNNNNNNNNNNNNNNNNNNNNNNNNNNNNNNNNNNNNNNNNNNNNNNNNNNNNNNNNNNNNNNNNNNNNNNNNNNNNNNNNNNNNNNNNNNNNNNNNNNNNNNNNNNNNNNNNNNNNNNNNNNNNNNNNNNNNNNNNNNNNNNNNNNNNNNNNNNNNNNNNNNNNNNNNNNNNNNNNNNNNNNNNNNNNNNNNNNNNNNNNNNNNNNNCGAGUUUCUAAUUAUCUUUACUUUUACAUUCUUCUCUAAAUAUGCUUAAGGCCCAAUCAUUAGUUAACGUGAAAAAGAGUAAGAUGAGUUCCGAAUUUAUUCAAGACUCGUUGCUAUUGAAAAAAGAGAGAGAGAGAAAACUCAUUUGCAAGGAAGCGGACUUAUAAAAGAACAAGUUAGGUUCUUAAUCUCAAAUAAAUUAAGUUUUAAUAUACAAGCAAAAAUUGACGAUGAAGUUGGAAAGCCCUGCUACCGACCAUUCGUCAUAAUUAAAUUAAUUUAACAUUUGAAGCCAAUUGAAUUAGGUUGGGGAGGUUUUAAACCCAUUAGGUGCUUAUUUAGAUUAGGAAAAUAGGGACGACUUAUAAAUGCCGUAAAGGCGCGAGAAACGUGCCAAAAUUUGUGGUGAGGCCGAAAAGUACUACUAUCGGUAAGCCACACGUCAAUAUAAUAAAUAAUUUCAAAAUAAAUUAAAAGCGGGAGGCAAACAACUUUUAGGUUAACAAAUAUUAUGAAUCCUAAAAAAAAAUAAAAAAUUAUUUUGAGCCAGACGUAAGUCAUUAAAGCGACCGUGCUAAAACCACGAGACUCGAGGUCUAGUUCGCAGACGAAAAAACAAAAAUUGAAGAGUCAUUUCCUUUUGAAUAGGGAUUCAAUAAGGUGACUUGGAACACCCAAACUCAAUUCCAAGUGGCGACUCUGUAAGUAAAGUAAUCCCUUUUCAAAACGUCACUUUAAUUGGAAAAACCCAUUUUCUCUAAAACCAACUCCCUAGCAGGGUUGGACGCGGUGAAAAACCGAGGGUGUGACACAUAACUUUAAGAAUAUAAUAAAUUCAAUCCUAAAAAUCUCUAAGGUUAAUUAAACCCAUAAAGUAAAUAUCCAGGAUUCGCAUCUGCAUGAAAUUUAAGUAAAUUCCUUAAGUGGUCACUCGUGUUUGAGAAAUUGCUUACUAAAAUAGCUUUUGUUUUUAAUUUUAAAAUUACAUUAUCACCGAACUAUUAAUAUUUUCCUCAAAAGUUCAAGUAUUAAGAAGAUCACAUUGAUGGUGUGGGAACACUCAUCUACUCCAUCCGUGUAUUUUUACUUAUAUAUAUAUAUAUAUAUUAAAAAUAGUUAUUCAAUUUUGCUCAUUCAAUUUAAAAAAUCAAGAGAUAAUUUAUUAUUUUAUAUCUAUUUUUACUCUUAUUGUAAAAUUCUAUUCAAUUCGCAUCAAUUAGAUAAGGGCAAAAUUUAGAAAUAGCAUACUUAUCCCCUUAAUUAUGAGUUUUAUAGCAACAAUUUCAUAAUUACGUAAUAUAGCAAGUUAUAUUUUAUAUUUUUACAAACUAUUGAUACUAAAAUACAAAUACAUAGGAUUUUUACUAUCCUUAUGAUCGAUAUGUAUUUUGUAUUUUUGCAAACUAUUGCUAAAAAAAUACAAAUACAUACAAAUACAUAUGUUACAAAAUAUAAUUUAAUAAAAGUGUUGUUAUUUUUUAUAAUUUAAUACUCAAGUAUGCUACUUUAUACUAUAUUUUUUCCAUUAGAUAAUUUAACUAGCUCAACUAGCAUCAUUGCUACUAAUCUUUUGGACCAUUUUUAUUUGCCCAGUCCAAUUCCAAUGUCCAACCCAAAAUAAAUAAGUCACCAUAUCCAUUCGGCCCUAAAACUUUUGAGUUUUCGGGCCCCAUACCAAAAAAAUAUAUUUAGGGACAGUACUUUAAUUGUCGCUAAAUUAUACACCCCCUGUUUCAUAAUAAAUGAAUUAUUGAAAUUUCGCACAUAAAUUAAGAAAAAAAUAUUAAAGAUAUAAAUUUAACAUAACUUUUCAUUUUUACCCUAAAAAAAGAAAAAACUGAUCUUGAUAAUAACUUUUCAAAAAUUAAUUAGUUGUCAAAUCAUUAGGGUAAAUUUGAAAAAAUAUUCAAUGAUUCACUUAUUUUAAAACAGCAAUAAAUACCCCAACAAUUUAUUUAUUCUGAAACGGAGGAAGUAUUUGUUUGGUAACAAUGAUUAAUGACAGUUAUAUUUUAAUAAUUUUUAUUUUGUAAAGGAAUAAGGAUCAAAUAUGCUCCUAAACUUUGUGAAAAAUUUAUAAGUUUAGUCCAUUAAUGUCCUCAGUGUUAAAAUUUAGGAGCAUAUAAACCCCUUUGAACAUUAAAUAAUGUGUUGGAUAUUUACAAGCAUCAUUUUUCUUUUUCUUUUUCUUUUUUUUUUUAAAAUAUUUUAAUUGCCAUAUAAGCAAAAUAAUUACUAUAUCACAAAAAAAAAAUUCAUCCAACUCUUCUAUAAUCUGAAUCCGACCCUCCAUUUUGAAUCAACCCAUCACCCAAUCCAAGAUUCACACCAUUUUGAACUUGUAUAAUACUCCUUCCAUCCCAUUUUAUCCGUCUCAAAUUUUCUAAUUUGAUGUUCCAUUUUACUUCUCGUUUUUUACUUAUCAAGAUAAGACAAUUUUAUUUUCUCCAUUAUACCCUUAGUGUAAUUGAUUACUCCUUGUUAUUAGCAUUCUUGAAAAGUGUUGCAAAAUUUUUUUGAACUAAUAACAAUAAAAGUACAUCAUUAAGAAUAUAAAUAGUGCUUUGAUAUUAGUCACUCAUCAAUAUUGAAAUCAAUAACAAUACACAAUUAAAAGGGUGAAAUGGUAAAGUUACAUUAUUAAUCAUUAUUUUCUUAAUAGCUGCAUCCAAUUUAGAACGAAUAAAAUGGAACGGAGGGAGUAAGUAGUUAAACAGGUUGUGAAAACAAGAUAUCAGCUGAUAUACGUUUAAGAGGUGGAAGAAUUGAUUGUUGUUAGCAUCUAAAAAAUCACUACUUGUAAGGAUCCUUAUUCAUCAUUCACGAAAUUCAAUAACAAUUUUCUUCUUUCUUACUUUUUAUUCUAAAUUCAGCUAAACACUUCGACUAACAACCCUAGUUUUAGUUUUAGUUGGGCCAAAAUUCAAGAUCAAUUGCAGAAACUAACAGAAGGGAUCAUGCAUACGGCCGAAUGAAAUCAAUAAACUGAUAAGGAGUUGGGAGAAAUCAGAGAUGCGCUUGGAUUCAUGGAUCAAAGAGGAGUAGAGAGAGAGUAAACUAGACCUGAGCACGUUAAUGGCAGAGCAAGUUCAGGGGAGAUGCAACAAGAAGGAAAGAAUCGAAAGUUUCGUCAAAGCUCCGGCUCUCAUCGGUAUUAAAGGGGUGUGGAUUUUGGGUCGGGUCAUGGGCUGGUUCAAAAUGAUGGGUUGAAUUUAGAUUGUAGAAGAGUUGGUGGAUUUAUUUUUGUGAUGUGAAAAUUAUUUUGCAUAUGUGACAGUUAAAAUUGAAAAAAAGAAAAGAAAAAAGACUUGUAAAUUUUCAGCACAUCAUUUAACGUGUAAAGGAUAUGUAUGUUCCUAAUCUUUAACAACGAGAGUAUCAGUGAACUAAACCUGUAACAAAUGGUGUAUUUUAUUUUUUUUUUGUAAAGUUUAAGGGCAUAUUUGAUCCUUUUCGUAUUUGAAAAUCACUACAAAAAUGGGUCAAAUUGUGGAGGUUGAUUUUAAGGUUUACGGGAGUUUUAAACCCCUGCAAAUUAUGAUUUUGGCGAUUUCCAAAACCCCCACAAUACGAGCCGUCACAAAUAAUUUGCGGAAGUUCUUUUUUGACCCUCAUAAUUAAUUUGCAGGGUUAUUUUGCGGCGAUCGACAUUCGUUACUCUAAAUUUAAUUUUUUUUACAAUAAAUUUUUCUUUAAAAAUUGUGCGGUUUAAAACUUCCGCAUUUUAAAAAAAAAAAAUUAGUGGGACCCAUCAAUUUUUAAUAACAAAUUAUAAAUUGUAAUUUUAGCUCAAUUUUUUUUUGGUACCUGUACAAUUUUAUUUCAUUACCAAAGCAACAUUACAAUCCAUUUACCAGCCUAAUGACAUAGAUUGGCACCGUCGUAACUCACUACUCGAUCAGACUAUUAACACUGAAGGUAAUAGUUCAGAUCUCUAACCAUAUUUGCUAACUUAGACUUAGUCAUAGCAAGACAUAUAACAUCCUGGAUCACUUCUCUAACAACCUUCUUCGGAGGUGUUACAAUCUUCUUAUAGAUUCUACAGUUUCUCUCAUUCCAAAUGUUGUAAACACAAGCUGCAAACAUCAUCUUGUAUAUAUGUGCUUUUCCUGAUCGACCAUUGGCAUUUUUUACCGUCCACUCUAUUUCAUAUGCCCAGGGCAGUGCACUCCUUGGUAUACUCAACCAUCUGAGUAGCGCAUUCCACACUUUAGCAGAAUAAGCACACUAGAAGAAUAGAUGUUCCACAUUUUCCUCCUCUGUUCUAUACAAAACACAUGUGCUAUCCACAAGUAACUUCCAUUUAAUCAACCUAUCUUUGGUGCACAUUCUAUUCAUGAUGGCCAAUCUUAAGAUAAAUAUCCAUUUUGCAGCCCCAUAGUUAUUACACAUUAUCUUUUUCCAUGUCACUUUCUGAAAAUCUAGCAAUUUUUUAUACAUCUUCCUGAUGGAAAAACAUUCCAAUCUUUUCAGAUCAUUCAAGGUUAUUCCUGCAGCUUGACAAUAUUUGUGAGCCUUAAAGAUUUUCUGCAUCACCCAGGAAGCUUGCUUAGACAUAACAUCACCAUAGGAGCACCCUUGAUGUAAUAGGAAUAAACCCAUUGCACCCAGAGUUUGUCCUUUUUCCUACAGAUAUUCCAGAGUAGCUUCAUGAUUGCAACUUUGUUCCACAACUUAAGGCCAAUCAGAUUUACUCCACCAGCAACCUUAGGGUUGCAGAGAGAUUCCCAUGCUACAAGAGCUUUUCUUGAAACUUCAGCACUUCCUAUCCAAAAGAAUCCCCUGCAAAUGCUUUCCAUAACUUGUGUAACACCUUUCGGCAGUACAAAAAUCUGUGAUCAAUAAGUUUGCAUCGAAAAUAACACACUCUUAAUCAACUAUAAUCUGCCUGCAUAAGAUAGAUACCUAGAUGUCCAAGAAGUGACUCUAUUCAAUAUUUUUUCCACUAGUGGCUGGCGGACAUCCUUUUAGUACCAAGAGGCACCCCUAAAUAUUUGAAAGACAUGGACCCUUCACCGAAUCUAAGUACCUGCAGUAUUUGGUGUUUGGCUUCACUCUUCACUCCUCCAAAAUAUGCUAAAAUCUUGCUAGGAUUAGAUUGCAGCCCUGACACUUCAGAGAACUUAAAGUAGCACUCGUAAAGUUUAGUAAUAGAUUGCACAUCUCCUCCGCAAAACAACAAUAGAUCAUCAACAAACCCAAGUUGUACCAAUUUGAGUUUCGUACACUUAGGAUCGUAUUUGAAUUGAUCUUGUGCAUCAAGUCCCUUCAGCAACCUUGUCAGAUAUUCCAUUACUAUUACAAAAUGAUAGGGGGAUAUAAGGCCCCCCUGCCUCAAGCCCCUCUUUGCAUGGAAAAGAGUUGUCGAGAUACCAUUUAGCACCACAGAAUAAGAAACUGUACUCAAACAUUGCAUUAUCCAGCGGACAAAUAAUUCAGGGAGAUUUAGUGCUUUAAGUAGCUGCUCCACAAAAGGCCACUCCACAGAAUCAUAAGCUUUCUGAAUGUCAAUCUUUAACAUACACCUGAGAGAGACUCCUUUCCUUGCAUAGCCUUUAACUAAUUCAUGACUUAAUAUUAUAUUGUGUAGACACCUAAUUUUACCCUUCCCAAAACCCAAUUCAUCCAUUUUUAUGUCACGUUAUCAUAUACCCUCACCCAUGUGAUUACACCCCACAAAAAUACAAAAAAAAUUAACAACCCUUAACAAAUCUCUAACAAACUUUAUCUUAUUUUAAUCAUCCUAACAACCUAACCUUACCCCACAUCUACGCCACCUCACCCACGUAACCACUCCUCCCCAUAUUUCUUUUCCACAAAGGAAAAGAGCAUAUACACACAUAAAUUCCAUCCAAUUGGUGGCCCACAGUGAAGAAAAACAUAUACAAAAGGCCAUUCAUUUUUUCUUUUCUUCUUGACCAAUUCAUAUAUACAUAGAACAAACAAAAUACAAAAAUAGACACCUCACACCAUUAACAGAGGGCAACACACACUUGCCCUUUCGAAUAAAAACCUCACUGAAGUACUCACAGAGGGAGAGCACACUGACCCUCACGCAUAUCACACACACACACUUUAUUUUUUUUUUCUUCUCCACCGAGAAAACACACCCAGAUAUACACCAUUACACCACUCACACGGAGAUGGAAUACGUGCACACUCUCACUGAUUGAAGAGGUCACCAUUUUUCUAUUUUUCUUUAACAACGCACGACAACACCAUGGAGAGAAUACCUACAAAAAUAGAGAAAAGAAAACUCAAAUAAAACACACUACAAAUUGAAACCUCACCGGAAAAGUUCACUCACUCACUCACGAAUAGCUCACCAUACGCACACACGCCGUGUAUAAACACGCCACACACUGAAAACCGAGAGUUGAGGGUGUGAUCGGAGUAAUCGAGAAAGUGCGAUUCGAGUGAGAGAGAGAUCAAAACAGAGAGAAGGAUCGAAAGAUUGAGAGCAAAACACAAAGGGGAACCGAUUGGGAAGGAGGGUGGUGCGAUCGGAUUCCGGCAACGUCCAUCGAAAUCGUGGUUUGGUUCGGUUCUGCCUGAAAUCGGGUCGGGCUUUGGAUUUAUCCGUCUUCGCGAUUCAUUUUCAAUAUUGUGAUUCUCGGGUUACUCGAUUCAUGCCCGCGGAUUUCUGUUCGAAUUGGAUUUCGUGAAUAUUCCGUGUUUGGAGUUCGGUUGAUAGUCGAGUCGGUAUUCGUUGAGGUUCUCAGUACGGCUCUUUAUUCUCUUAUUCAAAUCAAUCGAAAGAGUCAUUGAGGUCCAAUUCUAUUUCAUUCUCAUUUUGAUUUCAUUAUAUACGCAUGAUUGAUGGAUAUCAUCUCAAUUUUCUCUUAUUUUAGGUGUGAUAUGAAUGAUUAAUUUGGAAUUAUUUGAUUGUGGAUUUUUGAAAAAUGGUAAUCGUGAACUGUUAUAUUGCAACUUUGAAUAAAAUUUGGGGGAAUUGAUAAUCGAAUAAGUAAAACGUUGAUUAGUUUUGAUUCAUUGUUGGAUAUUAUUGAAAUUGAUAGUAUCAUGUUUUAGAUCGUUAAAUGUGUAGGCAAAUACUAAGUUUGGGUAGGCAAAUUGUAGAAAUGGAAGAUGGUGACUUGUGGAAUGUGUGAAUAUUUGUUGAAUGGUUCUUUCUAUUUUAACGCAUAAAAUUGAGGAUGUAUUCAUUUUGCCGGGGAAUGCCCCGAGGUACUUGUAUCCAUUCAUCGAGAAAUAUUCCGACAUAUCAUGUACGCAAAGAAGGUUCGUGAUGAAGGCUUGAGGCAUCGGGUAAAGCAUUGGAGUAUAGUUUAGGAUUAGUCUAAAUAGGAUUUCUAUUUUUGUAUUGUUCUAUUUUUGGACUGUAUAAUUCGUACUGGACAUUAUUUUGAUUUUUGAAUUUUGAAUUGCAUGACAUGUACUUACUUUUUUUAAUAUGUGAAUGUGAAUUAGUUGAUUAACUUAAUUAUUUUAUGUAAAUAUUAAUGGCCUAAGUUUUGCCUAAAAUUGAUGAAAUUAUAUAAAUAAAGAAUAUCCCGACCGACACCCAAAAAGCAAAAUUUUCACUAUUUUUUUUUUGUUAUUUAUACAAGUGUGAGAAUAUAAAAUACAAUAUAAAAUUUAAGGGCCUCUUUGACUGCAACUCCCGACGAAUAUUUCAAAAUAACCUGUAUAAACACUAAAAAAAAAAGAAUAUUAGUAACAAAUAAUCAAAAUAAAUUGAACAAGCAUCAAAAUAAAUUGAACAAGUGUGUAUGCGUAUAAAUAUUUAAAAAUAUAUUUUUUAUUAAAAAGUGGGCUCAGAUAAUGUCAUGACUGCGAAAUGGUUGCUCAAUUAAUUGGCCGUUCUAAAUCGUCUUGCAACGAAGUGGUUGCUCAAUUAAUUGGCCGUCCUAAAUCGUCUUGCCAAGAUAUGAAUUGUAAAAUCUUGUGUUAUAAAGUUUCAUCAUCGCCCAAAAAAUAUUUAUUUAUUACGUAUGUAUACGUAAAAAGUCCGUCUUUUGUUUACGGAUGCCUCAAAAUUAAUAAUAAUUUUUUCAUUGGCCAAAUGUGUAGUAUCCAUUCACCAUCAGUGUAAAUAAAUGAGAAGGACAAAAAUCGUUCAAAAAUCACUCCAACAGCAGCAAACUCAAGGCAAACAAAAAUGGUCAAUAACAGUGAUAGUAAAAUAGCAAAGCUAACAGAGACAAACUCACUAUCUAAUUAAUUCAAAUAUCCAUCCAAACGGCUUUGACUAGAUCUGUGUAGUAAGAAAAAUAUUAGAGAAAAGGGGCGGCUCGUGGCUGUUUCUCGAUGUUGGUAGCGACUGUUGUAGUGGUUGACGGCGGCAGAUCUGGGAAGAAAUUCGAUGCUCAUCGGUCAUCACCUCCGGCUAGCUUGCGGCAAAAUGUAAAGGGAAAGCUUGUAGCGUGGGGGGUGGUAUUGUCGGACGGCUGUUUCAGGGAAGAAAAUUGUGUGGAGGUGGCGCGUGAGAUUGGAUGAACUGUUGAUAUCUACGGAGAAGACGAAAGCUUAAAAAUGAAAACUGUGUAGUAGGCAUCUAUAUAUAUAUUUAUAUGUGUGUCAUUGCUGUUGAUGGUAAAAAAUAAAACAAAAAUGGAGGUUGUUUUUCUAUGUAUGUGUGUGUUUAUGUGUUUUUAUAUAUAUUUUUUGUGAGUUUUUGAAGAGAAAAAUGAAAUAAAUAAAAUAUGCUUGUAUAUUUAUGAAUAUGUGUGUGAGUUUGCAAAGAAAAAAUGUUUAUGAGUUGUAAAAAAUAAAUAUAUGUGUAUUUUGAUAGAGAGGAAAAAAAUGAACAAAAAUGUGUGUCCAAAAUGUGUCCUCCCACCAGCUAUUUAUACAAAAAAUUGAGCACACCUUUUAUCCAAUGUAUAAAGGAGUGUCCUCUCUUUUUAUAAUAAAACACUCUUAGGUCCUUAAGUUAUUGGCCAAAGGAUUUUCAUCCUUUUGACCAAUGGACAAAGUAAUUAUCCAAAGGGUAGUGUCAUUGAUUGGUCGUUGUCAGAUGUGAUGAGACAACACUGAAUGGUCAUUUUCGGACGUGACAAGACAUUAUUGUGUAGUCGUUGUCGGAUGUGAUAAGACAUCGAAUUAUUAUACUGCACAAAAAUAAUUGAUCCGAUUGAGUAUUUGCGGACUGUAAAAUAUAGAUGUUGAAUGAAAAAUGUAAAGAAUAUUAAAAUAUAAUUAAUUUAAAAAUACUAUAUAUAUAUAUAUAUAUAACGUCAUGUCGUGCACAUGCGCAAAUAUUUGUAAAAUAAUAAAUUGAUAAGAAUAAGAAAAAUUAUUAAUAAAUUAUAAAGAGUAAAAAAUCCUAAAGUAAGGAUGAAAAUCAAUAAUUUGUUAUCAAUUGUAAAAAAUAUGUGGAAGUUGUAUUUUGUGUCUUUUAACGGUCAGGAAGCCUGAAUACGUUAUUUUUAAGCACGGAGAGCAAAAAUUGGGUGUCAACAACUACGCGUGACCUGAUUCUCCCCUCUCGGAGGUGAGAUACGUAGGCUGCCCUAUUUUGGGAUCGUCCAACCAAAUAAAUAAUUUAGAAUCACCCAAUCAAAAGAAACUGGGGCAUGAUUUAAUCCUCGUUGUUUAAGUCGAUUCCAAAAGUUGUAAGUCCCACCCUACUUCAAGUGUCGUUUGGGCCUCAUGUCAUCUUUUUCUUCUAACCUUAUUCAAAAGCCAAGCUACAACCAAAGAAAGACCUUCAGAUCAAUCUUUGAGAAUGUUAAGACUAAGCAUGCAAUGAAUGAGAUGACACAUUUUAGGAACUACUUGUUUACCUCAGCAAUAAGAAUCGGAAUGAGAGAGUCUUAUUGGUGAAAACCCUCACGGGUACCGUAAGGCGAUGGUAAGUUGAGAGAAAUAAAAAUGAGAGUCUUAUUGGUGAAAACCCUCACAGGCACCAUAAGACGACUGUGAGUUGAGAGAAAUGAAAAUAAGAGAGUCUCAUUGGUGAAAAAACCUCACGGACAUAAAGGCAAUGGUGAGCUGAGAGAAAGGCAGAGGCUUGUUGGCGAAAAACCUUCAAGGCGCCACUAGCCGAAUGAGAUCUAAAUACAAUUGACCUAAGGAAGCAACUCAGUUUUGAGGCCAUUAACUCAAAAACAAUUGGUAGGAAGUUUGGAUGAAAAGGUCAAGCUGCUUAAUCCAAAAUGCAUGGCAUAUUCAUUAGAGUUGAUUGUCAUUUUUAGAUGAAUUUUUCAUUUCUUUGUUUUAAAGGGGGACAUUUAUUGUCGACAUUUAUUGUCUUUUCUUUCUUCUUUUUAUUUUUAUUUUAUUUUCUUUGGUCAGUUGUCCAAAUAAAAAUCAUUGUCAUUUUUAUCUUGUCUUGGAGUCAAGUCCAUGUCAAAACAAGUGAGAAAAGAUUUCAAAACUGCCUACCAGCUUCUUUAAUUGCACAAAGCAAGACAAAAGGGUCAGUACAUGAAAAAGACAUGAUUGUGAGCCGAAAUAAGGCAUACAAAAUUUUGUCAACAGACAAGUCUGGGAACUUAUGGAAAUACAAAAGAUCAAAGGGUUUAUCUGAAAAGCAUGGCAAAGCAGAGAUACUGUGUUUGUUUCAGAGUCGCUCUUAAUAAUCUGAGUUUGGGUCAAUGAUGCAGCAAGUCAAUGGCAUAUGCUAAUGGUUGGAAGCAAGGUUAAAUGUGACCGGGGCAAGAGCGAUUGCCGCGAAAGCUAAAGACACAAACCAGCCACCAUGUUUUUAAACUAACAAGUUUUUUUUUUGUAUGAAACAGGAACACAUGUUACCUUCAAAUCGAGAAUUUCAAAGCCUAAACAUCAAAAGUUGCAAUGCUCACCUACACAAAUGCAGGAGAUAAUAUUGUUGCACAGGUUUGGUAAUCAAAACCAUGGUAAAACUCAUCAUCCAAUAUCUCUAGGAGACACACUUCCUUGUUUGGAUAAUUCAAGAGACAUUUGUAAGGAGAUGCACUUCCUUGUUGGGCAAUGCAAGUGACAUUUGUAAGGAGACACACUUUCUUGUUUUGGUAAUUCAAGCAGCAUUUGUAAGGAGAUGCACUUUCACAUUUGGGUAUCUCAAGCGGUAUUUGUAAGGAGAUUCACUUCCUUAUUUGGUAAUUCAAGCAACAUUUGUAAGGAGACGCACUUCCUUGUUUGGGUAAUUCCAGCAACAUUUGUAAGGAGACACACUUCUUUGUUUGGUAAUUUAAGCAACAUUUGUAAGGAGACAGACUUUCUUGUCUGGAUAAUUUCAGCAACAUUUGUAAGGAAACGUAUUUCCUUGUUUGGGUAAUUCCAGCAACAUUUGUGAGGAAACACACUUCUUUAUUUGGUAAUUCAAGCGGUAUUUGUAAGGAGACACACUUUCUUGUUUGGGCAAUUCAAGCAACAUUUGUAAGGAGACACACUUCCUUGUUUGGGCAAUUCAAGUGACAUUUGUGAGGAGACGCACUUCCUUAUUUUGGUAAUUUAAGCGGCAUUUGUAAGGAUACGCACUUUCUUGUUUGGGUAAUUUAAGAGACAUUUGUUAAGAGAUGCACUUCCAUGUUUUGAUAAUUCAAGCGACAUUGGUAAGGAGACACACUUCCUUAUUUUGGUAAUUCAAGCGGCAUUUUUAAGAAGACGCACUUUCUUGUUUAGGUAAUUCAAAAUACAUUUGUUAGGAGACGCACUUCCUUGUUUUGGUAAUUCAAGCAACAUCUGUAAGGAGACGCACUUUCUAAUUUGGGUAAUUCAAGCGACAUUUGUAAGGAGACGCACUUUCUUGUUUUGAUAAUUCAAGAUACAUUUGUUAUGAGAUGCACUUUCUUGUUUUGGUAAUUCAAGCAACAUCUGUAAGGAGACGCACUUCCUUAUUUGGAUAAUUCAAGCGGCAUUUGUAAGGAGAUGCACUUCCUGAUUUUGAUAAUUCAAGCAACAUUGGAGCCCGCCCAAAGCACAGGGUGAAUAAAUGGAAGGUCAAAUAAAAAGGUGAAGAAAUUGAAAGUCAAAAAAUUGAAAAAUAGCAAGUCAGGAGCCCACCUGGAGAUCAGGUUGAAGAAAUUGAAAGUCAGGCAACACGUUGAAGAAAUUGCAAGUCAGGAGCCGGCCUGAAGAAUAGGGGGAUGAAACUCAAGUCAAGAGUCCAAAAGAAGCUACAUAGAUAGGAUUUUUGUAAUUUUAUUUAUGUUUUAACUUGUAAUUUUUUAUUUUUGAUGUAAUGACAGAGUCGUGGACCGAAACCUCGAUGGGACCUCACUCGACUCUCCAACUCGGUAUAGUCUCUCUUCUUCCAACCCUUUGAGAUACAUGUAACUUGAUUCCCUCAUAACUUGGGUAGAAAGGACGUCCUAAGACAAGACUUGGUUGCCUUUUUUCUUUCUGUUUCGUUCCUUGAAUAAUGGUUGGGUCAAAAUUUUGUCUCGUUAUCUACUUUUUUUUUCUGAAAACACUUUGUGUUUGCACCCAAAAAGGGGCAUGAUUUAGACACCUAAUUUUGCCCCUCCCAAAACCCAAUUCAUCUAUUUUUACCACACAUUAUCAUACACUCUCACCCAUGUGAUUACACCCCACAAAAAUACAAAAAAAAUUAACAGCCCUUAACAAAUCUCUAACAAACUUUAUCUUGUUUUAAUCAUCCUAACAACCUACCCUUACUCCACCCCUACCCCACCUCACCCACAUAACCACUCCUCCUCCACAUUUCUUUUCCACAAAGGAAAAUAGCAUAUACACACACAAAUUCCAUCCAAUUGGUGACCCACAGUGAAGAAAAACAUAUACAAAAGGCCAUUCCAUUUUUUCCUUUCUUCUUGACCAAUUCAUAUAUACACAGAACAAACAAAAUACAAAAAUAAAUACCUCACGCCAUUAAAAAGGGACAACACACACCUGGCCAUUCGAACAAAAACCUCACUGAAAUACUCACAGAGGGAGAGCACACUGACCCUCACGCACAUCACACACACACUCCAUUUUUCUUUUUCUUCUCUACCGAGAACACACACCCAGAUAUACACCAUUACACCACUCACACGGAGAUGGAAUACGUGCAUACUCUCACUGAUUGAAGGGGUCCCUAUUUUUUCAUUUUUCUUUAACAACGCACGACAACACCAUAGAGAGAAUACCCACAAAAAUAGAGAAAAGAAAACCCGAAUAAAACAUACUACAAAUUGAAACCUUACCGAAAAAGUUCACUCACUCAUAAAUAGCUCACCAUACGUACACACGUCGUGUAUAAACACACCACACACUGAAAAUAGAGAGUUGAGGGUGUGAUCGGAGUAAUUGAGAAAGUGAGAUUCGAGUGAGAGAGAUAUAAAAACAGAGAGGGGGAUCGAAAGAUUAAGAGCAAAGCACAAAGGAGAACCGACUGUGAAGGAGGGUGGUGCGAUCGAAUUUCGGCAAUGUCCACUGGAAUCGUGGUUUGGUUCGGUUUUGCCUGAAAUCAGGUUGGGCUUUGGGUUUAUUCGUCUUCGCGAUUCAUUUUCAAUAUUGUAAUUCUUGGGUUACUCUAUUCAUGCCCGUGGAAUUCUGUUCGGAUUGGAUUUUGUGAAUAUUCCGUGUUUGGAGUUCGAUUGAUAGUCGAGUCGGUAUUCGUUGAGGUUCUCGGGACAACUCUUUAUUCUCUUAUUCAAAUCAAUUGAAAGCGGCAUUGAGGUCCAAUUCUAUCUCAUUCUCACUUUGAUUUCAUUAUAUACGCGCGAUUGAUGGAUAUCAUCUCAAUUUUCUCUUUUUUUCGGUGUGAUGUGAUGAUUAAUGUGGAAUUAUUUGGUUGUGGAUUUUUGAAAAAAGGUAAUCAUGAACUGUUAUAUUGCAACCUUGAAUAAAAUUUGGGGGAAUUGAUAAUCUAAUAAGUAGAACGUUGAUUAGUUUUGAUUUAUUGUUGGAUAUUGUUGAAUUGAUAGUAGCAUGCUUUAGAUCGUUAAAUGUGUAGGAAAAUACUAAGUUUGGAUAGGCAAAUUGUAGAAACAGAAGAUGGUGACUUGUGGAAUGUGUGAAUAUUUGUUGAAUGGUUCUUUCUAUUUUAACGCACAAAAUUGAGGAUGUAUUCAUUUUGCCGGGGAAUGCCCCGAUGUACCAAAUAUCGUCAACAAUGAAAUAGAAAGAAUGAAAGAGUAGAAUUGGAUCUCAAAUGUUUCGAUUGUGGUUGCUCCUUUCGAUUAGAACCGUGUCCAAAGUCUCAAACUGAACCUCAAGAAUCAACAAGCUCAACUCGAUAUCGCAAGUCACCACCCAAACAGAUUUGAAACCAUCAAGCAAAUUCACUAUCAACUCUCGAAUCGAGGACUUCAAACAGAAAUAACAAACCCCAAAGAUGAAAUUUCAACCUCAAACCCCAAAAGUAAAAAAAAAACCCAGAUCGAAAUGAUUCAAUGAUAGACGACGACCCGAUUCCAACACAAAACCCACGAUAGACAGUGGACAAUACUCCGCUUGGUAUCGAGAAAUGAAGACCCAAAACAGACCACAACGAACCCAAAUCAAAGACAACGAACAACCCAAAUCCAAAAUGAAUCACAAAUCAAUAGCAAGAUUGCGAAUUCACAACCCAAAUUUAUUCAGACAGAUAUCGCAAAAACAAAGACCAACCCGAACCCAAUAUCGAUCUCCCUAAUCCUUCACUCACUGAUUUUUCCUAUCCACUGGUUUCUGCUUAUCUCCUUCGUUUCUCUCUCUCUCUUUGUUCUCUCUUAAUCCCCCGUCACUGGUAUGUGCGUGCGUUUUUGGGUGUAUUCGAAAAAAAAAGAAGAAAUGGGAAGGGAAUCGCGUCACCUCAUCUCCAAAGAAGGAGAAACCAACAAAAUGGCGUCACUGUGUAUCCAUCCCCCCUGGUUUUUGUAAGUGUGUAUGUAUAUAUAUGCUGUGGGAAUUCCUUGUAGUGAGAGUGUGGACGAUGGUGUCUCUCUAUGGAAGAUCAUCUAUGGUGUUCUUCCGAAAAAAAUGGUGGCUCUCAGUGUUGUGUUUUUUUCCCGAAAAAAAAAAGAAAAAGAAGCCCCCCCCCCCAAAAAUGUUUUCUCCUCUUGGUCUCUCCUUUUCACUGUAUCCAUUCUCCUCUUUAAUUUUAUUUUUUGCUUUUUCUUUAUAUUGUGUCAUAAUUGUAUGAAUAUCAUUGGUGGCUUGUGGGUAUAUGUGUGUGGUAUGUGUAAAAUUAGGUAUGACAUGUGGAAAGAUGAGUGUGGCGUGUGGCAAAAUGAGUAGGGCGAAUGAAAAAUAAGGGGUGAGGUAUUGAGGUGACAUGGUGAAGUGGAUGCAAAUAGAAAUAAAAAUAAAAAUAGAAUAAAAAUAAAAUAAAUAAAAUAAAAAUAAAAAUAGAAAUAAUUAAAAUAUUUUUUUUGGGAUGGACAAAAUUACGUGUCUAUAUAUUGUCCUGUAUCAGUCUGUUUAGCACAAAAACAACUUGACUUGGAUCUAUUAGUGAUACGAGUACGACCACGAGGAUGCACGUAUGUGAGAAUGCAUUGGACCCGUCCAAUAAAGCAUCCAAUUCAGUGUGGAGAAGACCUUGUAUCACACCAAAACCGACCCUAAACUUGCACUCCAAGGGCGCGCUUUUCAUUAAAGGGACCUUUUGGUCAUUUUACCUAUUAUUUGUAACAUACUAUAAAUAGAAUAAUGUAGGGUUUUAGUCAUUAGUUUUGAUGAAUAUUAAAAGUUGUAGACACUUAGACAUUUCUCUCUUGUGAGAAAGGCCCCUAUGGCCAAACAUUGUAACUAGGGAUUUCAACUUGAGUGUGGAAUCACUUGUGUUGGAUUCAAGCUUGGAAAUGUUGGAUGCUUGGGAGAUCGAGGUCCCUCUUGUGCCACGNNNNNNNNNNNNNNNNNNNNNNNNNNNNNNNNNNNNNNNNNNNNNNNNNNNNNNNNNNNNNNNNNNNNNNNNNNNNNNNNNNNNNNNNNNNNNNNNNNNNNNNNNNNNNNNNNNNNNNNNNNNNNNNNNNNNNNNNNNNNNNNNNNNNNNNNNNNNNNNNNNNNNNNNNNNNNNNNNNNNNNNNNNNNNNNNNNNNNNNNNNNNNNNNNNNNNNNNNNNNNNNNNNNNNNNNNNNNNNNNNNNNNNNNNNNNNNNNNNNNNNNNNNNNNNNNNNNNNNNNNNNNNNNNNNNNNNNNNNNNNNNNNNNNNNNNNNNNNNNNNNNNNNNNNNNNNNNNNNNNNNNNNNNNNNNNNNNNNNNNNNNNNNNNNNNNNNNNNNNNNNNNNNNNNNNNNNNNNNNNNNUUUCUAGUGUUAGUUUUCUUCAUCUCUAACACUCUUGAGUCUAAAUAUAAGUUUGAGCUUACAUUGUUGGUGUUGUUUUUGUGAACAUAAGGCGUGGCCGAAUUGUUGUUGAAACAUUGUUGUGGUGGACUGUUUUGGCCUUGUGGUCUUCAUCUUGCUGUUGUUCUAAGCUUGGCCACGUGAUAUUGUUGUUCAUUGGUGGCCCAAGAACCAUUUUGUUGAAAUUGUAGUUGUCUUGGCCAAGUGUUAAAGAUAUUGUAUUGUGAAAAUUGGAAGUUGGUCGUGUGACAAUUGUCGUAUUUUUGUGUAGACACGUGAUUUUUGACCCUCCCCGAGUUUUAACCUAUUUAUCGGAAUUAAAUAUUUUAUUCGCUUUGAUAUUAUUUUAAUUCUUAUUUUAUUUUUAAUAAAUUUUUAGUUAAAAAUAAAUAAAUAAAGUUAUAUUUUGAUAUAUUUUUUAUUUAUUUUAUUUUUAUUUUAAAAAUAAUACAAAAAAGAAAUUCAAAAAUAUAUUUCAUUAUUUUUAAAUAAAUAGACUACUAGUUUUAGUAUUACCUUAAUUAUAGUUAUUUUAAAUUAUAGUAUUUUCUUAAAAUAUAAAAAAUAAUAUUCUUUUAUUUGUAUUAUUUAUUAAAAAAAAAAAGAAGAUAAAUCUUAUCCUAUGAAACUACCCUAACCACCCCCGUAAUUUCUCUCAACCUCCCUCUACUUCCCAACCCCCUACACCCUGUAUAUUGUCACACACACGAAAAAAAAAAAGAGAACACUCAUGGACAAAAAACAAAAGGGAGAGGAACAUAUUUUUAAAAAGUGGAGGAAAUAUUUGAAAAACAAGAAAACAAAAACAAGGAGAAAAACAAAAAAUCAGUAGUGAAGACAAGAAAGAAGGAAGAAAAAAAAAAGUAGUGGAUUGAGUUCAGGUUUCGUUUCAGUUUUUGGUGAUAUCGAUCGUAAUCCUAUACUAUUUACUGUAUAAAUUCUAUUGUGAAUCAAAGCAUAAGUGCAGAUAUUUAAAUAGUGUCAUGCGUUACUUAAUGUUUAGAACCUUUCUUAUUAUCGUAUGCUAUUUGUUUAUGAUUAUCUUUGUACAGUAUUAAUGAUAUGAUAUUUGUAUUUGACUAAUUGUAUACAGAUUUUUGGUUAAAUAUAUUUCGUUAAUAUAGAUUUCUAUGUUUAGUUAUUUAUUAAAAUUAAAGAAGUUAAAGACCAUGUAUUAAAUCUUUUAUAAGUUUCAAACUCUAGGAAUUAUUUUGUUGAAUAAUCCGAUGAUUAACUGCAUGAAACGUAGUCAGGAAAAGUUGCUAGCUUUAUUUGUUCAUAUAUAUAUAUAUAUAUUUAUUUGUGAUCAAGAAUGAGAUAUCUUUUAUCUAAAUACAGAUCAAAAGUGAUAAAUUAGUAUGAACUGUGCAAUGCCAUAGUAGAUAGGAUCUAUAUUAUAUUCUUUCAUAGUAGAAUAUAAUUGAUAUAUAGCAAAAUAUGACAAUUCAUGUGUUUCCAAGAGUCGUUAAAUUUUGGCUUUUAUAUAUUAUUAAUUCUUCGUGGCCCAAUAAAUAUCAUUAUUUAAUUUGUUUAGAAAAAUAUUUUCCAUACAUUUAUCACCAAUAUAUUAUAGAGCAACGAGUAUAUAUAAAAUAAUAAACAUUUGAUAUUUUUGGUUAUGAUACAGUAAUAUUAGUUUUACUAACUUUCUACGUCAAGAAAGCAAGUUAUGUUAAUUACUAAAUAGAUAUAUAGUGGGACCGAUUGCAUCGAUAUAUUGAUUCAGUAAGUUAUUUAUUAUUCUUAAGAGUAUAAUCUAACUUGCCUUUAUGGUAUUAUUUAAAUUAUUCAACUUGUCAGUAAUUAAUUAGUAUGAGAUGAUUAAAUUGGAACUUGCCCUAGGCCUUCACAUUUUUCACAAUUUUUACUUUUUUCACGAAAUACCUUCUACUUUUACACUAUAUAGCCAUCUAGUAAUUGUAUAAAAGAAAACUUUUUGUAAGAUAAAAAGCGAAAAAGAAUAAUAUAAAUUGUUUCGAAUUUUCAAGAAACGGAACUAAUGUCUUUAACACUAGACAAAUUUUAGGCACGUUUAAAAUUUUCGUCUUAAUUAAGAAUGCGGCAUACGCAUCUUUCUGAGACAUUUAAAAUUCAAAGAUGUAAUAAUGCACUUUGAUAAAUAUUUUUCUAAAAAUUAAUUAACUCUCACCGAUUUAUUUAAUAUAAGAUAAUAGACAAGUUUUUUAGUAUAGUAAAAUGAGCGAUUUUAGGGCCUACUAACAUAAUCUGUCAAAAUAAUUUAUGUCAGGAUAAGUCAAUAAAAGCGACCGUGAUAGAACCACGGGAUUCGAGGGAUGCCUCAUACCUUCCCCUCGGUCAACAGAAUUUCUUACCCAGUCUUCUAUUUUUGCGGACCAAUAAAGAGUCAUUUCCUUUUGAUUAGGGAUUCAAAAAGGUGACUUGGAACACGAUAACUCAAUUCCAAGUGGAGACUCUGUAAAUAAAUUCAUCCCUAUUCAAAAUCGUCACUUAAAUUGAAAAAACCCUUCGACUCAACGCCCUCCGAGCGAAAAAGGGGUGUGACAUUUUGGAGAUUAUUGUUGGUUGUUCUUGGUGAUUGUUGAUGUUGUUCUUAAAGUUCUUCACAACCUUCAUAGCUUGUUAAUAUAAAGUGAACAUUAGAUCUAUAAAGGUGAAGGAAAAAGGGGUGAAGCUUUGUUAGUCUUGAAAGACUUCCCAUCACUCAUCAAAUAGUCAAUCAUAUAUCAACCACUUUUCAACAACUUUCCAUAAAAUAAGGGUCCAUGUUAUAAGGAAAAGUACAAGAAAGUCAAAGUCUUGAAAACUUGACUUUGAAAAUGCUUCAAGACUUGUUUGAAUUUCCCUUCUUAAAAUAAAUUCCACCAAUUCCUAAAUUGUAAAUUGACCAAGACUUGAAAUUGGACAACAACAACAAAAAAAAAUUGUUAGAAACCGCAACCAAUUACAUGCUGCCACAUCAUCAUUACUAUUGUUCACGCAACAUAUUUAAGCUCAAAUUUUAGAUUUCUUAGUUUCCUUUUAUUGUUCCUUAGUUCCAAUUUCGUUGGUUUCAAUACUAAUUGGCAAACUAGUACUCAUCUACUAGAUUUUAGUUAGUCUUUGUGUUCGUUCAUUCGUGUUAAAUGUUUGUUGUGUGCUUUUCACUUUUGUGAAUUCGUUGUAUCUUGUUGGUUCAAGUCCGUAAAUAAAUUUUAUUUGAGUCAACUCAAAUGAAAAUUCAUUUCGGACAAGAGUAGACUCGACCCUCAAUCACUCACGAAGUACAAGCCGGUUUUCAACAUUUCUAAAACCAAGUGUGAGGUAAAACCAAGAGUGAGAGUGUGGUGAGGCAUUUUGAACUAACAAGUUUGUUUUGUUGUUUGUUAUUGUACUUUGCUUUAGGUACAAUUGCUGCCACUAAUCUUGAUGUCACAUUUGAUCGUGAUACAAGUCAAAUGGCCACCUUAAUUUUUGAAGACAUAAUUGGAGGUCAUCAUUUAAAGGUUCAAGACUUGGUCACCCCGAUGACACAAGAAUAUACAAGGAAGACCCAUUUUGAGCACAAGCAAGGUUGUGUGUAGAAGAUUACUUGGAGCAUCGAAGACUUGAGGACUCACGAUUUUGGACAGCACUUAAUGGGUCAUGAUUUGGUUAUCUUGAUUAAGGGUAUUUUGGUCACUUCAUUGGGUCCAAAUGCACUCCAUGGCCACCCAACCUUUUAAGGGCAUUGUUGUUAUUUUGCCUUGUCUUGUAAUAGAAUAUAAAUAGAACAUUUUAGGUCAUUUUCUCGUUAGUUUUUCAUUGAUGUAAGACUUGAAACAUUAAACACCUUUAGUUGUCAAGCUUGGAAUAGCCACCCCCAUCGAAAUGAGGGCAACAAGUGUGGAUAUCACUUGUGUUGCAAUGUUGGCUUGAGACGUUGGUGUUUAAAGGAGGUAAAGUUCCUCUUGUGUCGACGUAGGAGUUAGGUUAACCGUUGUGUGUAGUGUUAAGGGUCCGAGAUUACCAUAUUCUUGGAUUCUUAAGAUUAUACCAAGCAAGGUCUAACUAUCUAUCCAUUUUAUUUAUGUUGUAAUCAUUUGUUUGUGUUCUUGUAAUUCAAAUCCGUGACUUGUUGUUCUUGUUUCAUUAUUGUUGUUCUUCAUCUUGUUGUUGUUAACAUAGUUUGUUGUUAGCUGUUUUUAGGUGAUAAACACAUCAAUACAUUGUGUUCUUGUUGUUGUUUGUUAAAUUCGAGUAUGAUCUUCAAAAGGGUCCUCGAAUCUUUGAUCUUGUGGACUGAUUUUGAAGUGUGUUUCGUGUUGUUCUUGUAAUUCAUGUAUAAUUUGGUAUCAGAGCCAUCUUUGAUUUUGUUCUAACAAGAUCAAUCUUGGGCUUGAGAGUUGAAAAAAAAAUAUAUAAAAAAGAGUUGAAAAACUAUAAAUCCAGAAAAGGAGUAAUCUGCCCGUUCUUGUUGUUCUUGGCCAAGAAAGUUGUUGUUCUUGUUGUUGUCUUGGCCGAUACAUGUUUCUUUGUGACUAGAUAUUGUAUUAUUUUGUUGUUUAGAGUGUUUCUAGUAUUGGUUUCUUUCUAACCAACACUAAAAAGUAUCCAAAUCUAAGCUUGAACUUGAACUUGUUGAUGUUGUUAAUGUGAACAAAGUGUGGCUGAUUUGAUGUUGUUGUCAUUCUAAGCCUUGAUCGUGUUGAAGGCCUUGUUGUGCUGGAGUUGGGUGUUGGAAUUUGUUUUUGUUCUUAGAGAAUAUUGUUGUUGUUCUUGGUGUUGUUAUUGUGUUCUUGUUGUUCUUCACCCUUCUCAUCUUUUGUUAAAACAAAAAGUGAACAUUAGAUCCACAAAAGGUGAAAGACACAGUUGUAGUACCUGUUGGUGAAAGACUUGAUCACAUCACUCAAAAGACUUGACAACCACUUUUCACCUACUUUCCUUGAUUUAAGGACCUUGUUUGAAGGAUAAAGUACCAAGAAGGUCAAGUCUUGUUUUGAACUUGAAAAUGAAGAUCCAAGACCAAAUUUCCCUCAAUUAACCAAAUCCACCAUUUCCAAAUUGUAGAUUGGUCAAGACUUGAAAUUGGAGAGUAAAAUUUUGACAAAACCAAGGCCAAUAGUGGACUGACACAUCACUAAAUUACUGUUCACGCAACAUUGUGAGUUCAACUUUUAGAUUUCUUAGUUUUAUUUUAUUGUUUCUUAGUUUCGUUUGUUGGUUUGAACACUAAUUGACGACCUAGUAAUCUCCUACUAGGUUGUUAGUUAGUUUUUGUGCCCGUUUGUUCGUGUUAGCGUUAUUUUGUGUUUUUCUUAUUUUUAAAUCGUAGAAUUUCUUGGUUCAAGUUUGGACAUUAUUUCCUUAAGUCUUCAAACAAAGAAUCCAUUUCGACCAAGGAAUAGACUCACCCCUCGACUCAUCACGGACUACAAGCCGACUUACAACACUUGUGAAUCCAAAUGUGAAAUGAUCAAGUGUGUGUGAGUGUGGUGAGGUUGUUUCGAACUAACUUGUGUUUUAUUUUGUAGACUUGUUCUUUUUUUUUUUUUAGGUGCAACUACGAUGGAACCCGCGACUGCAAGUGCUAUUUUGGCUAAACUUGAAGCCAUUACCCGUCAAUGGGAAGUGAUAAAUGAAAAGUUGGAUCAUAUAGGAGUUCCAAGGGAGCAAGUGGGCUACCCAGACACACGUCAAGAUGAAGACCGUAGCUUAUGUGAGCUACGAGGUAAAAAUGUUAUCCCCUACACUCAUAUGAAUGUAGUUGCGGUUUUACCUAGUGUAGGAGUGCAUGAGUCUUCAUUUUGUGAUACGCUUGAUAUUGUUAGGUCACAUGAGGACCAAACUCUUAUUUUAGGUACACAAGCACUAGUUGAUCCUUUAGAUGACGAAAUUGAUUCUCCUCGUGAGAAUGAUUUGUGUCCAUCUGGUGCUAGCACUUACAAAUUGACUAAGGUUCCAUUACCAAGUGACGAGAGUAUUCACAUUCUAGUUGACCCUUGUGAAAAAUAAGGUGAGUCUACGUUGGUAUGUGAAUUGCCAACAACUAGUGAGGGUGAGCAAAAUGAUCAACCGGGCGUAGAUGAUCUUGAUUUACUUGAAUAUUUAGAAAACCCGAGUUGUGAUUUGUCUUUGUGAAGAUGAUUUUGAUUGUGGUCCUUUAGCUUCCCGUGAUGGUUUGUACGUAUGUGAGGAUAACUUUUGUGAAAGAGAAGGUGAUAUGUGCUUAGAAAUGCCAUUUACUUCGUCUUUAUGUGUUCCUUAUGUUUGGCAUAUUCCUAGUUGAAAUUUUGAAACUAGUAGUAAGUGCAUGCAUGGGAACCCUUUAUUUGAAGUUGACUUAUGGAACACCUUUCUCAACCCUCUUUUAGUUCAUGAUAUUUUCAAUAGUGAUAAAGAGUGCUUGUUUAAUUUUGAGGAUGAAACCCUAGGGGAAAAUGAGAGUGGCCGAGACCUAAGCCCUUGGUUACAUCUCCCAUUCGAUCCCGAUAACUUCUUAGGGUGAGAAGGAUGGAUAGUUGUUGGUCGGUCUACUUGUAUGAGUGAUAUUGUUAUAUGUGUUAGGUGGACUUUACUUUCAAUUAGGACACCACCCCUUGAAGGUGAAUCCUUUCGUCAUCUCCUUUGUAAUUUUUUUUCUAAGUCCCUUGUGAUUAUAACAAAGGAUGCGUGGUUAUAUCUCAAGUGUGUACCUCCUUUGCAUGUUGAUGUUGUUUAUUGUACUAACUUUAACCCUCUUGUCAUGAGGAUGUGGUGCUUGUUUGUCUUCUCUUUGUUCUUGCAAGGUUUGGAUUCGAGGUCGAAUCCUUUUCAAGAAGGGAAGGAUGAUACAAGUCAAAUGACCACCUUAAUUUUUGAAGACAUGAUUAGAGGUAAUCAUUUAAAGGCUCAAGACUUGGUCACCCCGAUGGCACAAGAAUAUGCAAGGAAGACCCGUUUUGAGCACAAGCAAGGCCGUGUGUGGAAGAUUGCUUGAAGCAUCGAAGACUUGAGGACUCAUGGUUUUGGACAGCACUUAAUGGGUCAUGAUUUGGUCAUCUUCAUUAAGGGUAUUUUGGUCACUUCAUUGGGUCCAAAUGCAUUCCAUGUUCACCCCACCCUUUAAGGGCAUUGUUGUCAUUUUGCCUUGUCUUGUAAUAGAAUAUAAAUAGAACAUUUUAGGCCUUUUUCUCAUUAGUUGUUCAUUGAUGUAAGACUUGAAACAUGAAACACCUUUAGUUGUAGGGCUUGGAAUAGCCACCACAUCGAAAUGAGGGCAACAAGUGUGGAUAUCACUUGUGUUGCAAUAUUGACUUGAGACGUUGGUGUUUAGAGGAGGUAAAGUUUCUCUUGUGUUAACGUAGGAGUUAGGUUAACUGUUGUGUGUAGUGUUAAGGGUCCAAGAUUACCAUAUUCUUGGAUUCUUAAGAUUAUAUCAACCAAGGUCUAACUAUCUAUCCAUUUUAUUUAUGUUGUAAUCGUUUGUUUGUGUUCUUGUAANNNNNNNNNNNNNNNNNNNNNNNNNNNNNNNNNNNNNNNNNNNNNNNNNNNNNNNNNNNNNAGUUUGUUGUUAGCUGUUUUUAGGUGAUAAACACAUCAAUACAUUGUGUUCUUGUUGUUGUUUGUUAAAUCCAAGUGUGGUCUUCAAAAGGGUCCUCGGAUCUUUGAUCUUUUGGACUGAUUUUGAAGUGUGUUUCGUAUUUUCCUUGUAAUUCUUGUAUCAGAUCGCAUCAAUGACGAUAUUGAAGAAAUGAAAUGGCAUGUGGAAAGGCUACGCUAAUUGUUACCUAAACUUAUCCCACAAAAUUCAACUUUCUUUGUCCAAACACCUUGUGCCGAGAGCUUCCCAAAGGAAGAGGUGGGCUACCCCGACCCACACCAAGGUAAAGAGGAGAUUGAAACAUCUUUGGUACUUGAUAGUGAACUUAUAAAGAGUGAAGCACUUGUUAGUUCCAAAUCUGUCCGUGAGAUAGAUCACGCUCUUUUUAGGUUUAAUGUUUUGUUUGAACAUGAUAUAAACACUCCUAAUGAACCUAGUGGUGAAAAUGAUGGUAUAGCUUGCCUUGAAAUCUAUAGCUGAUAUGCUAACCCACUAUGGUGUGACAACAUUCCUCCUAAAGAUGGAAAUCUCUUUUUGGAAGAUGAGAGUACUCUUAUUGACAAGGAAUGUGUAGUCUCAAAAAUGAGUACUCUUGGUGGUACUCUUAGUGUGCAUGAUGAUCAAUUUCCUCUUAAAUGUAGUUUACUACUUGAGCAUGUGAAUAGUGUGCUUAAAAAUUCUCAAGUUAGUGAUGAUCUCUAUAGAAUUGAUCUUGAUAAUACACAUGACUCUUUGAACAUCUUGUGUGGUAAAAGCAUUGUAAUUAGUUUUGUUCAUAGAGACCAUGUGUAUGAAAAUGUUUUUGUGUGUGAGUGACAUUCUAGGGGAAGGGAGUGCUAGCCUCGACUUAGGUCCUUGGCUAAUUUUUCCAUUUGAUCCCGGCACCCUCUUGGAAUGUGGAAAUCUCUACACUCCCCAUUUAAUGCUUGGUCAAGACGACAAGCAAUGUUUGGUUGUGGGUGCUAAUGAAGGAAGACAAAGUUCUUCAUUAUCUCUUUUUGUGGAUGAUGACUACUUCCUUUGUGUCUUUUGUACUAAGAUUUUUAUGUUCAACACAAAGGAUCCAUGGAUAUACUCCAAGUUUGUACCCCCCCCCCCCCGGCAUGGAAUAUGAUGUGUGCAUUUUGCUAACCCUAACCCCUCAUGUCUUGAGGAUAUGUUCUUGUUGUCUUCUCUUGAUUUUGCGAGGUACGAAUUCGUGGUCGAAUCCUUUUGCAAGAAGGGAAGGAUGAUACGGGUACAACCAUGAGAAUGCACGUAUGUGAGAAUGCAUUGGACCCAUCCAAUAAAGCGUCUAAGUGAAGUGUGGAUAAGACCUUGGAUCACACCAAAACCGACCCUAAACUUGCACUUCAAGGGCGGCCUUGGUCACAUUUCAUUAAAGAGACCUUUUGUUCAUUUUACCUAUUAUUUGUAACACACUAUAAAUAGAAUGAUGUAGGGUUUUAGUCAUUAGUUUUGAUGAAUAUUGAAAGUUGUAGACACUUAGAUAUUUCUCUCUUGUGAGAAAGGUCCCUAUGGCCAAACAUUGUAAAUAGGGAUUUCAACUUGAGUGUGGAAUCACUCAUGUUGGAUUCAAGCUUGGAAAAGUUAGAUGCUUGGGAGAUCGAGGUACCUCUUGUGUCACGUAAGAGAUAGGUGAAUUGUAGUGUGUAGUGUUAAGGGUCCAAGAGUGGAAUAUGCUCUUGGGUUCUUAAGAUUAUGCCUUCAUGUAAUCUAUCUUUCUAUCCCUUUGUUUAGUGUAAUCUGUUGUUGUUGUUUCUUGUGCUGUUGAAACCGUUAGUUAUUAUUAUUGAAAUUCUCUUGUUCUUCACGUAUUGAUGAUGUUUUGGGUGUUAUAUACAUCAUUGAAUCAUGUAUUCUUCUUGUUAGUAGCGAAUCCGAGAGUGGUCUCCAAAAAGGUCCUCGGAUCCUUAAGAUUAGUGGACUGAUUUGGAGUAUGUUUCGUGUUUUCCUUGUUUGUCUCGUAUCAAUUACACUCCCCAUUAUAUUCGUCAUUCUUUAGGUGAUUAUUUUAGAGAUAAUUUUGUAAAGGGUAGCGCAACAUGAGAUUGAUCUAAACUCCUUAAUAGUGGCUAGAUUUUUGACUUUUAGAAUUAGAGUCACACUCGUGCAGUUCAUAGGUUGAAACAUCUUACCACUUGCAAAGAAAUCAAGUACUGCUUCUGUAACAUCCUCCCCAAUAAUGUGCCAAGCUUUGUGGAAAAAAUAAGCAUUCAUUCCAUCACACCCUAGUGCCUUAUUACCAUCAAUAUUCUUCAUAGCAUAUGCAACUUCUUCUCUGGUGACAGGUUGUAUCAAUUCAAGCUUUUGUGCUCUUGUUAAUACAUUUCCUCUUCUCAUGACAAUAGGGGCUAUCGUAGGUAGUGCCUAUGUUGCUGUCCCUAAUAGUGUAGAGUAGAAAUCAAUAAUUUCCUUUUGUAUGUACUCUGGUUUAUGCAACAUGGUGCCUGUCUUAGACAUUAGGUGCUUGAUGUUGUUAUGUGCCUGCCUCCCUUUUAGACUUGCAAAAAAAUACUUGUGGUUAGUAUCACCAAGUUUCAACCAUGUCUUUCUUAAUUUUUGCAGCAAAAUUCUUUCUUCAAUAUGACUCUAGUGCUCCAGUUAUCUUAAGUAUCUUCUCUGUGUCAAAUAAUUUUGAUUCACGAUUUGGGGAUCUCAUAUCUUGUUGCACUUUUUCCAAUUGAGAUCUAAUAGAUUGCAUUUUACUAUUAAUACCCAUAAACUCCUGUAAAUUCAAGUUUUUUAGACCUUGUUUAAGUCUUUUCAUCCUCUCUCAGAUUCUACUCAUAUGUUUCACUGAAGCUGGAGUCUUCCACGCCUGCACUUGAAAAGCUAGGAUGGUCAGCCAAAGCAUUGAAGAACUUAAAAGUCUUUUUUCGUACAGGUUGAUUAUCAUCAAUUAUGAAUGUUAUAGGAGUGUGAUCUGAUACACCUGGAUCCAUGGUGACAGCCUCAAUAUGUGGGAAUAAUUGUAACCAUUCUGCAUUGACUACAGCUCUAUCAAUUUUACUGAACACAUGACCAUUGGACCAAGUGUAUUUUCUGCCAACUAUUUUCAUCUCUGUUAACCCAUUGUCUUUUAGGAAAUUUGCAAAAUCCUUUACCUCACUAUCUUGCAUAGGACUUCCCAUGAUCCUAUCUUCCUCUUCCAAAAUGGUAUUAAAAUUCUCUAUCAAAACCCAAGGACACCGAAUGUUCUUUGCUAGUCCAGAUAGAGCAGGCUGCAUGCUGCUUCUUGCAGUAAUAGUGUACAACCCAUAUAUAGUUGUUACCAAGAAGCUAGUUUGGUUGAUGUCUACUUUACCAUGGAUAAAUUAUUUAUUUAUUACUAAUGGUGUAAAUCCAAUCUUAGCAUUAUCCUAUGGUAUCCAUAUUCUUCCUCUAUCAGUAGCCUCAUAGUUACCACACCAGUGCCAUUUUCUCCCCAAUCACUGAAUUAUUUUUGGAGCAUAUUGUUGCUUAACUUUAUGCUCUACCAAUGCAAUAAAACUAUCCUUAUUCUUAUUUAGGAAAUAACUAACCUCCUUCUGCUUAGCUACUUUAUUUAUUCCCCUGAUAUUCCAUGCUACUAUCCUCAUAUAUUCUUUGUAGGAGUGCGAUUUGUACCUUCUCCAUACUUGGUGCUGCAUUGUCCUUCAUCCCAUCGUAUUGGAGCUCCCUCAUUAUACAGUAUAUCUCAUUCUUUGCAGUGAAUCCAUUAGUAGUGUUCAUACUGAUGGCUACCUCUUUAGAUUUAUUCUUUGCAGUUGACCUCCCCUUAGCCUCCUUUCAUGUACUAGGACUCACACUCUGUUGCAAGAGAGGGAAAUUCUCUGCAUUUACAUUUAUCUGGUCCUCCUCAUUUUGUACUACCUUUGUAGUCGUGGGUUCAUUCUUUUGCAUCCAAGUCGGGACCAAUUUGGGCUUUUUCUAUUCUACAGGUGCCUUGGUCUCUUUAGACUUGCAUUUAUGUCCCACCAUGAGACAGGUUGGACAGUACACAGGCACCCAGUCAUAUUCCAAUCUCUGCUCAAACACCCUGCCACUCGAGUCUUGUACUGUAGUAAUCUUUAGAAGCUCUUGCAUAACAUUCAUCUCAAUAAGCACCCAGGCCUAAGAGGUCCUCUCAAUUUUUAUUGUACACUCAUCAGCAAAUAAGGGAUUUCCUAACGCGCUACUGAUUCUACUUAAAGCUUCCCUUCUCCAGCAAUUCAAUGGCAAGUUUGGAAACUUUACCCAGAUUGGAAUUGUAGUUAAGACUUCUGCAGUGAAAUAAAAGUCUAUAGUCUAUGCUAUCAUUAUUAUGGGUCAAUUAUUGAGUGUAUGAUUUCCCGAUGCUAGCACCGCAUCCCAAUACUCCAUGGAUUUGAAUAACACCACGAAGAAACCUUCAUUGUGGUAGUAUAUUUUAGGCUUGGCUGCAAAAUUCCACUGUGAUGCUAUAAAUCUCUCCAAUGCUCCAAUAGUUGGAGAAUCCCCAACUACAUACAGGAUUAUAACCUUUCUCCACUUCUCAGUCUCCUGUUCCACAUCAAUUGAACCAUUUUUGCAGCAUCCUGCAUUAUUGGAGCAACAUAAUCCAACUCCACACCUCUCCCUGCCAUCUAGUUCCCGCAAAUAGCAUCGCCUAUUGUUUCGAUUCUUGCGGCUGUGGCACAUUUAACUCCCUCUGAUCUUCGGUCUCAAUUUCUAUUUGUUGUAGAGUAGGUGUGAUUAUUUGAUCCUUAGUUGGGAUGGUGAUCUCUGUUGCCCUUACUAUUGACCCAGAAACACCAAAUUCAAUGGGAUAGUACCUCUGCUAGAAACCCCUGCUUUUGGAGAUAUCGUCUCUUUACCUUUUCUCUGUCUACUUCCCAUUGCCGGUGGAGUAUGUUUCUCUUCUCGUGUUGCCGUCACCGUCUGUUUGCGUGGUCGUCCUUGUGCUCUCCCCAUAACCGACGGCGUAGUUUAGCAUGCACACUAACCUCCGCUAAGAGAGUUUUUUUUUAUAAUUGUUUCUUUACGCAUAACCUAAAAUCCAAUAUUUAUUUAAUUCAUAUAUCAAUAAGACAUGACUAAUUAAACAUUGUCCUUCACAAACAUCUCAAAAAUACAUUGAACAUUAAACUUCAAAAUUAAAUUUUCAACAUUAGCAUCUUCAAACUUAAAAUUUUCAACAUUAACUAGUAUCUUCAAAUUCCAAAAUCAACUGUAAACACAAAACCUUCAAUAUUUGAAAAUUCGCUCCAACCAUACAAUUACAUCAUUAUAAUUGAAUAUCCAAGACAAUUUGCAACGAAAUCAACGAUUGUCAUUACGAUCACUAUCAUCCCGUGGUCUCCUUGCAUCCAUGGACGAAAUGGGUCCACUGCCGCAUCACUUGGCUACAUAAAAAUGCAAAGUAUAAAAAAUAAUCAAAUAAACUUUCAGUCCUUAUUACAUUUAUAUCUGCGUAAAACUAAAAACAUCAUGAUAAAUAUAAAUAGAUCAAUCAACAACUACUCCAUGCUACAGUUUUAAACUACUCAAUCAGUUGAUCAAACUAGGAUCUUGAGUACCAUUCAACAUACAUGCAACAUCUGGAGAAUUGCUACCCAAAAGUUUCAUGCAAGAAUUUAUCACUUCAUCCGUUGCGAGACUAUCACAAAUAUCACUUCGAGUGCUAAAUACAUCUGCCAAGAUCGAGGCAGCAAGUACGUAUUUCAAAUCACUACCCUUAAAACAUUUUCAAGUCAUUGGUACACAUUUCAAAUCACUACACUUAACUAUUUUCAAUUAAGUAUUCACAUUUCAAGUGAUUAUACCUUAUUAUUUUAAAGUUAUUAGUACACAUUUCAAGUGACUACACUUUAACCAUUUUUAAGUCCUAAGUUCACAAUUUCAAAUAACUACACUUAACCGUUUUCAAGUCACAAGUUCGCAAUUUCAAGUAACUACACUUAAUCAUUUUCAAGUCACUACACUUAAUAAUUUUCAAAUAACUUAUUCACUAGUAUACAUUUCAAGUCACUACACUCAAACCAUUUUCAAAUAGCUAAUUGACAUUUCAAGUCACUAUACUUAACCAUUUUGAAGUAACUACACUUAACCAUUUUUAAGUCACUAGUACACAUUUCAAGUCAUUACACUUAAAUAUUUUUAAAUAACUAGUAGACGUUUCAAGUCACUACACUUAACCAUUUUCACGUAACUAAUUCACAUUGCAAGUCACUACACUUAACCAUUUUCAAAUAAUUAAUUCAUAUUUCAAGUUACUAUACCUAACCAUUUUCAAGUAACUACUUCACAUUUCAAAUAACUAUACUUAAUCAUUCAAGUCACUACACUUAAUCAUUCAUUUCAAGUCACUAUACUUAAUCACUUUCAAGUAACUAAUUCACAUUUCAAGUAACUACACUUAACUAUUUUCAAGUAACUACACUUAACCGUUUUCAAGUCACAAGUUUGCAAUUUCAAGCACCUACACUUAAUCAUUUUCAAGUGACUACACUUCUCAAGUAACUACACUUGAUCAUUUUGAAGUCACCAGUACACAUUUCAAAACACUACACUCGACCAUUUUCAACUCUCUAAUUCACAUUUCAAGUGACUUAAUUAUUUUCAAGUCAUGAAUUCACAUUUCAAGUGUCAACACUAAAUCAAUUUCAAGUCAUAAAUUCACAUUUUCAAGUGAUUACACUUUACUAAUUUCAAAACACAAGUUCACCUUUCAAGUAACUACACUAAAUCAUUUUCAAGUCGCUAAUCCACUUCUCAAGUGACUACACUUGAUCAUUUUAAAGUCACUAGUACACAUUUUAAAACACUACACUCAAUCAGUUUCAACUCUCUAAUUUAUAUUUUAAGUGUCUAAACUUAAUCAUUUUCAAGUCAUGAAUUCACAUUUCAACACUAAACCAAUUUCAAGUCAUGAAUUCACAUUUUCAAGUGAUUACACUUUACUAAUUUCAAAACACAAGUUCACUUUUGAAGUCACUACACUAAAUCAUUUUCAAGUCACUAAUCCACUUCUCGUGACUACAAUUGAUCAUUUUGAAGUCACAAGUACACAUUUCAAAAUACUACACUUAACCAUUUUCGAUUCUCUAAUUCACAUUUCAAGUGACUAAACUUAACCAUUUUUAAGUCAUGAAUUCACAUUUCAAGUGACAACACUAAACCAAUUUAUCCUAUUCUAUCAAUAAAACACAACAUAAAUCUAAUCACAAACUUAUUAUAUUCCGUCUUAUCCCAUUCAACAUGGAACUAUUUUAUCCCACCUGGAUUAGUCCAGAACUAUAAUUCCACAACAAAAGAUCCUUAACAGUAAAGCAGAACCUAUCUAGCUAGCAUCAACUAUAUGGAUUUUUUUUUAUAACCGUGGUGUCCGAGCAAACUUAUCACUUAUUGUCAAUAAGAUACCAUGUGACUUUAUCCAUUUAGCUCAAUUUGGACCUUUUUCAUUCCAAGACUUUAUCUUUACAACAAAUUAUGAAUUUUCUAACACAAAUCUCAUAAUUACAAACAAACAAAAAAAGAAUAUCAAACAAAUCAGGAAACACAUAGAUAAAGAAGAAAAUUAGGAAUACGCAAAAAGGGAGAAUACCAGAAGAAGGUUUCGGGUGUCGUUGAGGAAAUUUAACGCGUGGAAUUCUCUUCAUUAUGUGUCUUCCUUCGCUGGUUCGGCUGGAAAGGAAAUGGCAACGACGGCAGUGGGUGGAGGAGUUUUCCGAUGAGCUAUUCCCGAUGGUGGUCUCGUCGGUGCCGGCGAUCAGUUUAUGGGGGAAGAGAGAACUAUAGAGUUGUAGAGAGAGUGUAGUGAAGAGCGGCUGAUUCUUUGGCCAAAAGUGAGGGAUUAGGAUUUUCUUUUUUGGUUUAAAUGGAAAGAGGGAUAGGGUUUGAUCCAGCCGUUAGAUCAAUUGAUCAACGGCUGAGAUAUAAAAAU